rnacentral:lncRNA from 1 species
UUUUUUUUUUUUUUUUUUUUUUUUUUUUUGGUUCUUAACAAUCGAUACAUGUUUGUUGCAAUUUUAAUAAACUUACUGAAUUUUUAUUACCAAUUGGUUGUACUUACGUAUGUAACACUAAUUUUGUCGGAUGCAAGUUUUUGUCCAGCUGAUUACUCAGAGCGAGGAAGAAAAGAAGGCGCCUUAUUGGAACGUCAUGUUUAAUGAGUUCAACCUUGUAGGGAUGCAACAUCAGAGGAUGAAAAUAAAGGUGUUGCGGAUAUUGAUCAUGACUCCGAGACCACUUUUUCGUCUGAACCGAAAGGGAAGGCAAAGAAGGGAUACCACACACACGUGGGAAAGUUGCCAUCGUUGUUUCAUUCGGCAAUGAGUACAUAAAUUUGUAAAUUUUAGUUUCAAUUUAGACACUUGUAUUGUUUUUGAACAGAUAUUAGUUUCGGUGGAGUUAUGAUAUGAAAUCACUAUUUUUUAUAUGCAGAAGUAUGAGUUUGUUUCCAAGUGGCUGUUUAAAGAAUUUUUCGUGAUGAUGGAUGUUCGGUUGAGGAAAGUUGUAGAGGAAUUAGAGGUGGAACGGCGUGCCCGUAUAGAGUUAGCUGCCAAGGUUGAGCGUCUCCGAGGCGAUGUAGUUGGUAAAUCAUUUGACAAGACCCCGACCCCUGAUAAGUCGGUAGGGUCAGGGCAGGAUGCAGAUAAUGUCCCCAAGGAUGAGAAGGUAGAUAGUUCCCCUAAACGUCGACCAGGUUAUGAAGAUCUCACCGCAUUGUCCCCUCGACUUGAUAUCUCUACCGAUGAAGGGAAGUUGGCUCGGGAAAAAAACAUAAUCGAAACGACAACCCUCUGUGUGAAUUUUAUUACUUUGAUGUCGACUUGCUGGAGAUAAUUGAGGGCGAGAAUGCAAAUGAUGUCGCCUAAUCACUCCUGCAUGUAUUGGAGUUUAGAGGGGAUGGUGAGUUGGAAGAAGGGAAAGUUUUCUAUCUUGGAGAGGAAGACGAGGACAUGGAGGUCAGCGAGCAUAGUAGCCACACUGAGGAAGCUGUCGAUGUGAACGAGGCUGCCGGUCCAUCUAAUUCUGAGCCCCUUCUCGGUAAGGAAAUGGGGCGGAAGCAUAAAGGAAUGUAGCUGGUGCACCCUUUUACCCUCUCGAAUCCUACAAAAGAAGGAAAGUUGACAAUAGUUGGGCCCACGAGGAUUUUUUUGUUGUCACGGGUCCUAUGCUGAUCAUCCCAAAGUUGGAUGUGGAGGCUUUCAUCGAUGUCUAGACGCGUUUGGUUGGUUCGCCGAGGUAAGUUCACUUUCGGUCGUCAUUCAAACAAUUGAGUAUGAACUCGAUGUCCAUAGAUCCUUAACAACCUGUGGUUUUUUUUUUGUACUAGCGACAGACUGGACUUAUACAAAUUGGCUACCGUGGGUCGGGAUUUGUUUACCAUACUCUUCCAGUCCUAAGAUACUCUGAAUAGCAAUGUAAGUAAUUGUUCUUCUUUUGUAACUAGUUUUUGUUCACCAUAUUAUAAACGAGUAUAAGAGUUUAAUUCAACACAUCAACGUCAACCUUUACUUUCUGAGGAAGUGAUUGAUGGAGCGUUGUAGAGAUUUCGAAGAGCAGUAGAAAACUGUUGACUUUUAUUUAUGGGUAAGUGUUAUGUUAUUAUUGUUACCCUUCAUUCCAUCUAUUUAUGUUCCUAAUACGCUUUUGCACCUCAUUAACAAAUAACGAGACAUGUCAUUGGUUUUUGUUUUAUAUGGGAAAAUCUGAAAUUGUGUUGCAACGCAUUGAUGCUGGAAAAAUGAAACUGGAAUAUUCGCAAUUUGAGACCAUUGCUGCAAGAAAUGGUAAGGGCAACUCAAAGGCAACGUGUGACAUCCCACAUCGCUCAGUGGAGUGGAUUCUGUAAGCCUUAUAAUAAUAUUCUCAUCUUUACCUAGCACGAGGCCUUUUGGGAGCUUACUGGCUUCGAGUUUUAUCGGAACUCCAAAGUUAAGCGAGUUCACACGAGAGUAAUUCCAUGAUGGUUGACCCACUGGGAAGUUCUCAUGUGAGUUUCCAGAAACAAAAUUGUGAGGGCGUAGUCGGGGCCCAAAGCGGACAAUAUCGUGCUACGGUAGAGUCGAGUCCGGGAUGUGAUAGGGGCUUGGGUCGGGAUGUGGCACAAGGGCAAAAGAAGCUUUGGUUUUUACACUUUCGAAGCAUUUGAUGAAGGCCAUCUCAGCUGAUGCAAGUACAACGCCACACACGCAUACACUGAAUGAUGUUGACAAGGUAUUCAUCUCAUGUCACAUGAAUGAUGACCAUUGGAUGUUGGUUGAUGUCCAUCUUGCAUGUCACAUGAUCACGAUCUCUGAUUUACAUUUGUCAAGGUCGGGGUGGGAAAAAAAAUGAAGAAACAACUUGCUCAUAUGUGUUUCGUAAUACCUCAACUUCUAAAGGUGAUGGGAUUCCAGGCUGCAUGAAGCCAUUUUAAGCUAAUCUCGAAAGCGAUGGAUAAAGCGUUUGACAUUUAAACAAUGACCAACUGCAGCCAAUAAAACAACGGGUACGUUCCGUUUUAUAAUUAUCUCUAACGUAACUGUAAAUGUCUUAAAUACCUAGUGUGUUGUAACCUGGAGUUGUUCUUUUCUGGUAGGGCGGACUGUAGAGUUUUCUUACUCAAAUUUACCAACUACUUAUCAUCAGGCUUGGACAUUGACCACCUUAGAACAUGGCUUUUUUUCAGACUCAAGCUUGCCAUCGAGUUUAUCAGAGGCUGUGCAUUUGUGUGAAGGAUUAUGUGGACACCAUUUAUUUCAGUAGUUUUCUUGUUAUAACCAAACAAUUGGGUUACCAUUCAAAUUGUAAUUUGAGUACUUAGUAUGUAAUUGUAAGUUUAGUACACUUUUCCAUUGCAUUGUUUAGUAUUCAUUAAGUAUUCUUAAUUUUUAUUACUUAGCUAUUAAGGGCCUUAUGUUGUCAUUGGUUGUACUUAGCGUGUUAGUGUAAUUUUUAGUACACUUUGCAAUUACAUGGUUUCAGUAUUAAGUAUCUAAUCUUUACUUUAUUACUUAGCAAUCAAGGGCCUUAUGUUGUAUUGGUACUUAUAAGGCUUUCUGAUGCAGCAAUUUGUGUGCAUGUCUUGUUGAUGGCAUGUGCAUAACAUGUACAUGCAAUGUGCAUGACUUGACCAUGAAAUGUCCAGUACCAAUUAUUGUAUUCUAUGUAAAAAAGCAGCAUUGGAAACAAUAUCAGAGUUCAAUUAAUGUAUGUAGAUAACAUUGAACUAAUUAAACAUUAAGGCCUUUCUUAUGACAAACCACACGUGGAAUGUCAAAAUAUAACAAAUUUGAAGGACCCACAAAAGAGCUCAAAUUAUCCCUGGCAAGUAGCCCCAAUGGCAAGUGCCUUGUAGUAGUCAACAGUCACCCACUUCCCGUUCACAUCUACUUUCAUUGCAUAGCGGUGAAAUAUCUCAAACCCCUCACCAAGUCCUAACCGAAAGCCGUAUUGCUCGCCCAACAUGUGAUUGUGUUCUUCAAAUGACAUGAACUUCUCGAUCUCUUUUGCCAUUAACAACUCCAUGAGUCAACGAGCCCUUUUCAAUUUUCGCUUUAAGGAUGCGAUGUUUUUCACAUGAUCUUCCUCGUGCUUGGUAAUCCUCCUAUAAUUGUUUCAAGCUCAUAUGGCUUAAACGAACCUAUGUCUUCCGUCCGGGGUGAGGUGGGAGGUGAGCAUGAGUGGGAACAGGAAGAAGAAGAUUUCCUGGGGGAGGUGCGAUAGGAGUAAAGGUGGGAACUGGAAGAUGAAGAUUUCAUUGCUUGACUGCCAUAUGGAUUUCUUUGUUAAAAGGAUGAGAGAAUGGGGUAUUUUGUGUUUUCCUUAUACACACAAAAUCAAAGGACAACGUAAUUCAAAAAUGAGGUGUGUUCCAUAUGUUUCCCAAAAAUUCAAAAUUUGCCCCCAAAUUGUGGUGAUGGUUUGAAUUUCUCACCUAGGAAAAAUUUGAAAAUUUACUAUUUGUAAUUUUCUUAUGCAUAUGCCAUGCACAUGCUAUGAGCGUCUCAUGCACAAUACAUACAAGUUUUUCAUGCAUGUACCAUGCAUGCAAUACGCACAUAGCAUCCACGUCACAUGUUAUGCACAUCACAUUUUAUGCACAUAGUAUGCACAUGAUAUGUACAGAUUAUCCAGAUAUAAUUUCUUAAGUUCCUUUUUUUGGUCAAAAGUUUCUUAAGUUCUUUAAAGGACAACUGAAAGCAUGGUACACUAAAUGCGCAAAAAGAAAAGUGGAAGUAGUCAUUAAUCCCUGAAGGAAAAUUUGUGAAAAACAAGUUCAUUUGAGCAACAUCUAUGCAUGCAAUUAACAAUUAAAGGAGGAAUCAUGCUUGUAUGCACCCAAAAACAAAACUUUACCCAUGAAAUUCAAGGCCUAGUAGUUGUGGUGAACCAAGACUCAACUCAAAUCUUAAAGAAAAGAGUUAGAAACUUUUAUACCCUUGAAGCACCUCUUUGCUUAGCAAAUGAUAUUCUCCUAUGUGAAGGGCCUUAUUUCCUUAGUCUCCUUGCUCCUUGGCUCCAUGGAUGUGGAUGGAGGAACUUUGCUUCUUAGCUCCAUGACCUUUUGGAUAUGGAUGAAGGAAUGGAUUGUCCAGGUUCCCAAGAAAAGGAACCUCUAAGUUUACACACCAAAGAGAGCAUUGAGGAAGACAUGAGUGACCUAGGAAGAAAUGGAUGCUAGUGCAUUCUUCCUAGGGUGGCCGGCCUCCUAAGAGAAGAGAGAGCCUUUUUAUUUUUCUCUUCUCUUUCUUGAAAACCCUUAAGAGGGAAUAGGUUAUAAUUUCCUUUCUAAGCCACUUACAUUGAGUGGCAUAGUUGAAAUUAAAACCAAUUCUCCCUCGCAUUCUCUAUGGCCAUCCAUGUGGGUUCAUCGGGCUUUCAUACCCUUUGUGUUUUCAAGUUGUCAUACAACUUGAGUUAUUGGACUUGACAUUUGAAUCCCAUUAGGCCUUGAAGCCCAAAACUAACCCGAGGUCUAAAAGGAACUUAUUCGUUUGAUUAAUUAACAUAUUAAUUAAUCCUAGCCAUAAAUAAUUAAACCAUUUAAUUAUCCUUACUCAUCUCCGUUGUUUCUUCAAUCUCUACCUUAUACGGUGUAUGAUCCAUUGGGUUCCUCUUCAAAUCGAUUGUGAAUUGAAACUUACUUUUCAAUUCUCCUUUUAGUGAUUAUACACCUUUAGGGCUUCCACAAACCAUGAGUGACACUUAGCAGUAUGUCAUGACUACCCAAGCUAAUAAGAAGAGGUGGAGAACCUAUUCAGUUUGGGAUUACAAUGCAAUACGGUAUUUCUCUAAUACAAUACUCUUAACCACAUUGAUUGAUUUCAUAGUUUAUUCAUGUCUACUACCCAAUGUGAUUCUUUUACUUAUAUGAUUACCUUGAAUGUGAUUUGGAACGACUUCCAAAAUCUCAUUCAUACUCUAGCUAGAGAUUCUUAAUCAUAUCAUAGAGUAUUCUCCCUCAAACGGUUUGAAGAUUAGAGAUCCCUUGUUGUGCAUUCACGUGCCUCCAUGACUAGGUGGCUUAACCCCAACUAUGCUGUAAACACCCUAUGAUGGAGUGACUUUGACAUAGUCAAAGAUCAAGGACCUAACCAUAAGACAACUAUGAUGCCUCAGGUCAAAGGACUACUUUGCAUUAUCCCAACCAUGAGUUCUCAUGUGACAUGAGUAUGAGAACUCUUUGUUGCUCACAUUUAGUGGACUCAUUCUCUAUUGAGCACCUAUAUGCUUGUCUUGGUGUCAGUCACACUAAUGACUCAAGACCAGUCACUCUCUCUAAGAGAAGACAUAGCACAUACUGAUCUUAACGAACUGUUUCCAAUUGGCAAUCCUAUGAUCAGGAAUGUUUAGGAUAUAUAUAUGAAAGAGAAUGAUCUCAUGAAUCUAACUUCUUUAGAUCACAUUCUCCCAAUUACAUAUUCCUUGGACUUAUUGUUUAAGCAUAUAACAUUCAUAUGAGACGGCUUUAAACAAUAAAUUUUGCCCUUUAUAUUAAACUAGAUUAGUUUAACAUGUGAAAUGUCUGUAAAGUAUCAUCAAAUGAUUGCCUUUAUGGCACAUUUCCAACAAUCCCAUCUUAUUACAACGAGCGAGUAGUGAAUAUUACAUCAAAAUGAUCAAAAGUAUUAUCUUGAUGCACCAAUGUCUCAAUUUAGCAAGAAAGAUAGUGGUGCAGCAAGUUGAGUAGAUCUUUAUAAGUUUCAACUUUGGAAGACUACACAAAGGGGACCUUUACGGUCUACAAAAUAGGGUGGCCAAUGCCAUGCCUAAAAUAAACACCUACGAAUGAGGUUGCGCUUGUCUUUCACAUUAACGUCAAGCCAAUCCUUAUUGGCCUUGGCACUAUUAUGAAGAUUGGUGUAUGCCCGGAACAACUCAACACCUCUCUUGUAGGCCUUUUUUUUUCACCUCCAGCUCCUCGAAACUCUGUCCUCAUACGAACAGUGUUUCAGUUUGUGUUUUAGGAGUCUGACCUUGAAGUGGUUCCUUCGAGCUCGGAGUCUGUAGUCGUCAUCGAUAAACUUCAAUAGAUCAAUUCUUGUCCUACAUACCUCUUUUUCCUUUUCAAUUUCGAUGAUCUGAGUCUUGAAUAAUGCGACCUAUUGCCUAGCCAUGAUGUUUUCUGCAUUGAAAUUGAAGUUGUUAGUGACUUCGUUCUUAUGGUAUGCUUUCCCAGACUGUGUAGUACAAUAUAACAUUAUUGAACUAUUGUAGGCGUGGAGACUGAUUAUGUGAUGAAGUUUGCAAUGUGUUAGUGGUUGUGUGCAUGUGUGGAGUUAGUAAUAGCAAUAGUGUGUGAAGUUUGCAAUGUGUUAGUGGAUGAGGAAGAGAUUUUGGAGCCUGAAGUUCCAUACCUAAGUGCAAUUAGUUCUUUAUUGUACUUAACUCAAUGCACUAGACCUAACAUCUCAUUUGCUGUAAAUCUUUUGGCAAGAUACAGCAAUGCACUCACACGCAGACACUAGAAUAUUAUUAAAGACAUUUUCCGCUACCUUAAGGGUACAAUAGGUUUGGGUUUGUUCUACAUCCACGAAUCCUUGAGAUUUACCGUUGGAGACACUGCAAUUUCUUGGAGGUCUACCAAGCAAUCAUUAGUUGAGACUUUUUCGAACCAUGCUGAGAUUUUCACCUUGCAUGAAGUCUCACAUGAAUGCUUUUGCUUGAGAGCCGUCAUGGACAUAUUUGAAGUACUAGCUAUCUUUUACAGUCGUUGACGUUCCUGCGAUGAUCUUUAAAGACAACGCUGCAUGUAUCGAUCAAUUGAAGAACAUAUAUAUCAAGGGAGACCGCACCAAGCAUUGCAUCAAAGUUUUUUUAUUCUCACCAGCAACAACAACAUUAGAACAUUGAAGUCGAGCAAAUUUGUUCCCAGGACAGCCUAGCCGAUCUUUUCACGAAACCUAAGUUUACUUUUCUAAAGCUCGUCCAAGGAAUCAAUAUGCGUAAACUUUCUAACCUAAAUAGCUUGUAGUUCUCUUAUUUGGAAGUUAUGUCAAACUUAGGGGGAGUAUCUAGAAGCAUACUCACUUGAUCUUAUUGUAUUAUUCAGCCCACUUUUCCAUACGGGUUCUGUAGAUACUGCAAUACGCCCACUAUGCUUCUGUAGGUACUAGGGUUCGAGACAUGUUCACUACCAUGAUUCAGAAGCUUCUGAUUAGGAUAACACGGUGUGGAACAAGGUUUACAAUCCAAUAUAUCCAUCCUUUGAAGCAGUUCCUUGACAUAUUUGGAUUGAUGAACAAAUAGACCCUGAGACUGAUACUCAAUCUGUAGACCAAGAAAAAAAAUGCAAGAGACCCAUGUCUUUCAUUUCAAACUCACUUGUUAACUGAGUAAUGACAUCCUGAACCUUCACAUCAUCACUUCCAGUAAGAAUGAUAUCGUUAACAUAGAGAAGGAGAACAAUAAUGGAAGACUCAUGACACUUGACAAAUAAAGAAGGAUUGGCAUAUGAUGAUUUGAAUCCAAGUGUACGCAAAUAACCUGUGAACCGAUCAUUCCAGGCUCGAGGAGCCUGCUUAAGACCAUAUAAAGAUCUUUCCAACUUGCAGACAUAAUCUGGACACCUAGAAUCCACAAAUCCUUGUGGCUGAGACAUGUAGACUUCCUCAUCAAGAAAACCACGUAGAAAAGCAUUCUUGACAUCUAAUUGUUUAAGCUUCCAAUUAUGAGAUGCAGCCAAGGACAAAACUAAUCGAACUGUGGUUGGUUUAACCACAGGACUAAAUGUCUCAUAGUAGUCAAGACCAGCCUCUUGAGAAUACCCCUUAGCCAUAAGUCUAGCUUUGUACCGAGCCACGGAUCCAUCUGGAUUUUUAUUGAUCUUGUAAAUCCACUUGCAACCAACAAGGUUUUUUUUCAGGUGGUAAAGGCACAAGCUUCCAAGUUUGUUGCUGAAUGAGAGCAUCCAUCUUUUCUUUCAUGGCAGUUUGCCAUUGAAUAGACUUAACAGCAUUAGAGAAAGACUAAGGUUCCUUAACUUCAGAGUCUUGACCAAUGUGAGCAGACAACACUGUCUUUUUAACAAUUCCAGACUUAGAUCUGGUUUGCAUAGGAUGACAAUUCUGUGCAGUAAUACACACUGGUUGUAGAUCCUCAACUUGAGACUCAUUAGUAUUUAGAUGUUCCUCAAAAUACACAGAAGGAAGAACCUCUGAAGAAGUCUCAGCAGUAGUGGAUGAAGGAGCAAGAUCACCAGAAGUAGGAUGCGAAGAAGAGAUGGACUGAGUAAAAUGUUGUGGUCUAGGAGAAACAGAGGUAGGUUGUGAUGAACCAAGAAAAGGAAAAAUGGAUGGAAUGCUAAGUGAAUGGGUGAAUGUGUUAUGAUGCAUAAUAGACACUGGUAAUGAAGUAGAAAUAGAAGCACCAGUAGAAGUAAAAGGAACAGUAUCAGAGAAUGAAUGAAACCUGGAUUCAUCAAACACAACAUGUCUAGAUACCAACAAUUUAUUACUUAUGAGAGAGAAAUAAAUAUACCCUUUGUAUUGAAUGGCAUAUCCCAGAAAAAUACACUCAAUAGUUUUGGAUGGAAGCUUUUUUUCUUUGUAUGAUUUCAAGGAAGGAUAGCACAAACAUCCAAAAAUUCUUAAAUGAUCCAGUUUAGGUGGAGACUGAUAUAAGAAUUCAAAAGGAGACUCAUAUGAAGAACUGGUGUGGGCAUUCUAUUUAUGAGAAAGGUAGCAGUUGCACAUGCAUGAAACCAUAAUUGGGAAGGUAAAGAAGCUUGCUGCAAAAGGGUAAUAGCAGUUUCUACAAUAUGUCGAUUCUUUCUCUCGGCCAACCCAUUUUGUUCUGGGGUAUAAGGACAGGAUUUUUGAUGAAUAAUGCCUUUAGUAAGAAGAAAACUUUGAAAUUAAGGACUAAUGUACUCCCCACCCCCAUCACUUUGUAAAAUUUUCACAUGAGCAGCAAACUGAUUGGAAACAAAAGCAAGAAAAUUAACAAACACAGAGAACAUUGCAGCUUUAUUUUGUAGAGGAAAGGUCCAUGUAUAUCUGGUACACUCAUCAAUGAAGGAAACAUAAUACUUGUAACCUUCAAUAGACACACUAGGCGAGGGACCCCAUACAUCAAUGUGAAUUGCUUCAAAUGGAAUACUAGAUUCUGAAGCAAUUGCAGGAAAAGGUAAUUUGGUAAACUUGCCUUGCAAACAAGCUUUACAAGUGUGAAACUGAGUAUUACAAGAAAAGGGAUAUGCGAUUUACUAAGUGCUGCAGUGACUAUAGAAUGUGCAGGAUGACCUAAUCGACAAUGCCAUAAGUUUGAGGAGAUUUUCUGUCCCACAAAUGCAACUGGAUUAGAAGCAGGAGAAAUAGACCUCUAUGGUUUGAACAUAGGAAGGGGAUAGACCGCAUUGUUACUCAGCCCUUGAAAUACCAUUCUCCCGGUGACCUUGUCAUGUAUACAAAGAGAAACAUCAUCAAAUAUACAUCAACACUUGUUAUAUUUGCAUAAUUGAUGCAUGGAUAACAAAUGCUGAGACAAUUUUGGAACAUGCAACACAGAUUUCAACUUGAAAAUAUGUGAGUUAGUGGAAAGAGAGGAUGAACCAAUAUGUUUGAUAGUUAAACCUUCACCACUAGCACUGGUCACAGUGUCAUUGGAUGGAUAAGGUGUCACCAUGUGCAAAUUGGACAAGUCGGAGGUCAUAUGGUUGGUUGCUCCAGAGUCAAGAAGCCAGAAAUCUUAUUGAGGAACUGAGGAUGAUGAACCAGCACAGGCUUGCAUAGCAAGUGGAGCAGGAGGCUGAGACAUAGCAGAAAGAUGCAUUUGAUGCAUGGUAGAAGAUGGAAAUGGUGAAUCAGGUGACGGUGAGACCAUGUUCUGUGGAGGACAAGAAGAAUUCCACAUAUGAGAAUGACCAUGGUCAAUUCGUCAUUGGAGCAUACAUAGGUGCCGAGACACCCUGAGAAAAUGGUCCGAAGAAACCUGGAAAAGUCUUGUUUCAAUCAAAACAUGUAGCAGCAACAUGGCCAACUCGAUGACAAAUCUGACAUCCAUGUUGAAAGCAAUUUAAGGCAGAAUGUCUUUUGCGAUCACAAAUUUGAUAGAUUUGAUUCGGAUUAUAAGCAGGAGACGAAGGUUGUUGCGUGCCAGUGUGCUGAAAUGAAUUGUAUGCAUCAUAAGACUGAGGCUGAACAUAACCUCCAUAAUUGUGAAAUUGUCCUCUAGAGUUGUUACCAUAAAAUUUCUUCCCUUUUCCUUUGCUUUUGUAAUUAUUUCCUCAAAAAUUAUUGUAUGAGCCAGAACCAUGUUGAGUGACAAAUUCCAUGGGAACAUUAGUCAUGUAUGGCAUAGGCAGUUGUUGAAAACCUUGAGGCACUUGCUGAAAACAUUGAGGAAGCAUAGAUGACAAUGGCAUAAAUGGCAUUGUGGAACUAGAAUUGCCAGAAAAACCUUGAGGCAGUUGAGAGACAGACUUUGUCCCUGAUAAAGUCCCAUGAUCAGAAAUGGAUCCAGUGGUUUGAGUAUACAUAGCAGACAUUAAAGGAAUCUAUUUAGUAGCUUCAUCCAAAGUUGUUUCUUCUGCCUUCAACUGAGAUCUUAAUUCCUUUAGUGAAACAAGAUUCUCCCAUCCUCGAAUGACUGCCUUGAUGGUAUUAUACUCACUUGGUAGACCACGUAGUGCCACAAUUACAAUAUCCUCAUAAAAAAUGGUUACACCAGUGGCAGCGAGUUGAUCUCGAGAAUCCUUGAUCUUUUGAAGAUAUGUAUCAACAGAUUCCGAGCCUUUCUUGAUAUUCUGCAAAUCAAUCUUGAGUUGAACAAUGCUAGUUCUAGUAACACUAGAGAAAUGUUCCCUAAGAUUCAUCCACAUCUCUUUGGAACUCCGACACCCAAUAAUACAUGAUAAAGCAGAAGGAGACAAUGUAGCAGAAAUCAGUGUCAUCAAAGCUUUGUAAUGAAUUUUCCAUACACGAUAUGCAUCAGAGACAUGGGGAUUAUUAUCAACAGUUUCUUCAUUAGAAUUAGGCUCAACAAACUGAUCAGGACAAGGAAUAGACCCAUUGACAAACCCAAUGAUUCCAUUGCCUUCCAACAGUAGGUCCAUUUGAAAACUCCAGGUGACAUAGUUGGAAUCAUCAAGUUUCACUGAAACCGUAUUCCCAACACUUGGAAUUAAGGAAGAAAUAGGUGAUUGUGUAAAAGCUAAUUUCAUAAAAGUCACCAUAGCUCACAGUAGAGAACCGACAACAAAACUUCAACAAUCUUGAAACAAAUAGAGGAGUCAAGAACAACCCACAACUGCAAUUUAAUCCACUAGCAACAGCAAGAAACCAGUAAUCGCAAGAAAUCACCAAGAAAACACAAAAACCCCCAAAUCUUAGGGUUACAAAGAAAUGAAGCCAAUGCUCAGAGCAACUAUAACAAGCAAUUGAAGGUAAAAGAAUCGACAACACCUAAUUCACGACAACGAUAACGAUUUAUGGAAAGCAAACAACUCAGCAUUCGAUUACAAUCACACUGACAAUCGAGAACGACAACAACUAGAUUCGUAACCUGAGAAGAUGAAAUGGAUGAGCAACGAUCUCACCAAGCACCGACAACAAACAAAGAAGAACGGCGGAAGCACGAAGGAUCUUCAACUGGAGGCGUGAGCCACUUCCGGCGAUGAUACCAUGAAAACUAUGUAAAAACCUUAAGAGCUAAGGAAACAAGAGAGAGAAAGAAGAGAGGGAAAUGUUGUUAUAAAACUGACUGAACACUUUUAUUCAACUUGUAUAAAAUAAUUACAACUCUUGGUAUUUAUAGACCUUUCUACUAAUUAAUCAAUACCACUACCAAUAAUACAUGAACACUUGUCACAAUCCUAUGCAUUCAUAAUAUUAUCAACUCUAACAAAUACAUGGUACAUGUGCCAAAUUUGCUGGCCAGAAUCAAUAUUUGAGGAAGGCUGUUGAUUUGUGGAAGGUGAGCAAUGUUAUAGACAUGUUAUGCAAACACCAAAUCACUUCCCAGCGAAAGUUGUAUACUCUAAAUAAUACUGUGAGUGCUAUAGAAAAUGAAAUUAAUGACGCACAAGCUGGAAACCGCUUGAAGCCUAUGUUUAGGUGCUUCAAAGACUACGGUUAUAACUGGCUAUAGGAAGUUGCAUUCUGCUACGACCCUACUGGCGCAAACGGGAUUAAUUGUACUCUUGUUACUCACGUUCAGUCACAAUAUUCAUGUGGACAUAAUAUUUAUUUUUAAGUUCAAUAAUUAUAUGGGAUAUCAUCAAUACUCUUGCUUAGUACUGUUUGGUCUUGAAAUAAUUAUAUUGUAAUCACCAAACUUUCUGUAAUAAUAUUACACUAAAAUAAAAUGAAAGUUAGCAGUAGGCCUAGCGCUAAGCCUUGCCGAUCCAAGGUAGCAAGGGGAGCAGUAGCAGCCCACGUAGAGGCAACCCAUUGCAGUAGCCUUCUAGGCCGAAUACCACGCAAAAGUGCAUGCAGUUGUAGCUUAGGUCCAACUGGCUAACCUGCUCCAACAAAAUGGAUAUACGCCCCUUGCGCUCAAAUUGGUCCACGGCAACUCAAAAUUUUUUUGGCAACCAUCUUGGCCUUUUUCGGCUUUCGGGACCUAUUUUUUGGUGUUUCAGACUCGUAUUCGGUGUUUUUGACAUGUUUUUAUGCAAAUUUAGCUUGUUAAAGCUCAAAUUUCAUGCUCGAUGUCCACUACACUUCAGACAAGUUGCUCAACUCCAAAUGGCGAUCCAUACAUAUCCCGGUAGAACACAGACUCAACCAGUGCCCUCGCACAACAAUUUACCUUAACGAAUCAACUCCUUGAGCACAUCAACAAGCAGCGCACUCUUGACAAAGUGUCUCAAAGCAAGACAGAAGCUGAUGCUGAUAUUCUUUCCAAAGGCGUCCGGACAAGCAACAACUCAACCAGCCAUAAACUAGGCGUUCAGACAGCGUGCACUCCCUCAUCGGACCCUGUGGAAACAUUUUUGCAUGCCUUAAUGCGCUGAGAAACUGGCCACCCCUUGAAAAAGCUAACAAGCGAGUGCAUAUCCAUGGUUGGAUUCAAGCUCUGAUGAACACUCAAGACUCGAGUCCGGCGCAUUGUUCACUCGCAACAUGGCUCACAAGGAGUUCCUCCCACCUUAUAUCAGAGUAGGCAACAUUGAGGAUACUUAAGCUCAAGCUCAAGUUUAACUAGUACUUAACAACUAGCGCAAUCAUGAGCAGCCCGCUCAUAAGCUAGAGAAGAACGACGUGUAACGCAAUCGUAAGACAAAUAAGCAGACCGCUAAGAGAAGUAGCACAAACUUGCAAACUACUGCCCGAGGUAGUCGAGGCACCAUUGCCCAAAUGAAGGAAGUAGGAACGCUCAAAUUCAAGUUCAAUUGGCAAUCUACGCUAAGCGCGACCAUGAGCAGCUAUAUUCCUAACCAAGAAUGAACGACGUAUACCAUAAUCACGACACAAACGAGUAAGACAUAAGAAAGGCAACACAUAUCUGUAGGUCACCGCCGGGGUAGUCGAAGGCUCCGCUACCUCAAUAAAGGAAGAUCCAGGAAGAAAUAGCGCACGAAGACCACCAACGAUACACUCUAUAAGGCUAUAACUGUGCCAAAAGGUCCAAAGUAGAAAAGACUAACAUUGUCGGAAGUGAUGAUACAAUAGCCAAUGCAACAUUAAAAAAAUGGACCAGAAGUAGUAUGGGAAGAGAACAAGCCGAUAGGAAAAUGCAGGGACCAUUCCUAGAUGAAAGGAGGCCCAACACCCAAUACAUUCAUGACGUUCUCAAUCCCGAUCAACCAUAUCCUUCAUGACUUCAAGAAUGAACCAUUGUUUAAACGGCCACCACUCUCGAAGGAGGAUACCACCAAGCUACACAAGCUGAAACAUUGCACAUUCCGGAGGAGUCCAAGACACCCUACAGACAACUGCUACUAUUAGAAGCAGUACCUCGAGAGAUCACUAGGUGAAGCACGCCAACGCUGAAUCCUUAGCCAAAACAAUUUGAAUCUGAGUACUUGGGGGCCAUCAACAAUUCUAAGAAGAGGAAGAUCCAACAUGCCUUAUCGGUCUCUCCGGUUUAGGCAGUAGACGCUAAAUUUCAAAUCAUCGUUGGCUUUACCGAGCAGGAUCCCCAAGGGAUAAACUCCCCUCCCUGUAGGACUACGCCUUGGUCAUAUCUGUCUAACUGGCCCAUACUAUAAUCGACAUAAUGAUGAUGGAUAAUGGCAGUGCAGUUAACCUACAUCAAUUUUCAAUCAUUUAGAUGAUGGGCUUGGAAAGCCCGAUCAUACGCCAAGUGGAUGUACUCACCAGAUUCAACUGUCACACCUCGACUGUCAUCAACAAAAUAACACUCAAUGUGAGAACACCACCAGUUAUCUCAAAGUAGACUUUCACAUAAGCAACGAUCUCGUCUCCCUAUAAUGGGAUCCUAGGUAGGCGCUAACGAGUGAGAUUGGGCGCCGUAACCUCUGUCGAGUACCAGAAAAUCCAAUUUCGCAUCCUAGGAUGAGGAGUCUGAAAGAUUAAGUCAAACCAGGUUGCAUCCUGAUGAUGCAUUGUACAAGUUCUGAAAGAGUCGAAGAAUAAGUUUUUUACCCCAGUAAAGGUUACUGAGGUGCAGAAAGACGACUCUACCUCAACCAAAUAGCAAUUAUAGCUAACAGGUCAAACUACAUCAAUAACUUGGCGGAGGUAUUCUAUAUCCUCAAAGAUUACAAGAUGAUGGCCAACCCCGCCAAAUACACAUCCAAAGCAGAUUCGAGCGAUCUUGGAUAUGAAGUCCCCUACUACUCUGAAGGAGACUCAAGGUCUAACCAGAUGAACAAUUUCACUCAACCAUUUUCCAUUGCGAUCCACCGACCGAUGUAAGACUUUUUUUUUGUAAUCGAGAUGGAGCAACAAGACAAAUAUGACGAUAAGUGUGAGAAAGAAUUUGAAGACUUGAAGUAGUACUUGACAUCACCUCCUUGCCAUCCAAGCCAAAAGCAACAGAUGACUUAUUUACAUGCUUGGCAGUAUCUGAAGCAGCAGUAAGCUCUACCCUUAUACGAGAAGAGUUAGGGGCCCGACUACAAGUAUUGCAUAGUUUAAAAGCUUUUCUCGACAGGGAAACUUGUCGUCAAUGGGGUGUUUUUGGUGCAAACAUUUGCAAAGUUGUUAGCCAUUGGGUCCGCAAUUAGAUGUUUUACUUACAGAAGCAGAUAAGUCUAUGUGAGCACUUGGCUAUUAGCUUUGGCUUUCUAGGGCAUUGAUUCUCCAAUCAUUUGAGUUUCGUGGCCUGCAUCAUAACAUACUAAAUAUUGCUAGAACAUGAAAUUUGCUAACCCUUAGUCUCAAAAGUACGAUGGUAUAUGGAAUUUCGUGGGCAAUAGUCCAAAAGAACACUUUGCACUUUAUAUAACUAAUUUCAUUUGCCGCAUAGCAAGUAGAACAACACUUUGGGAAUAAAUGUAACCCGAAGGGGUUGCUCUGCCCUUGGUAGGGAUAAAACUCGUAGGCUGCAUAGCUUGAAUGAUUAGCUUAUGGACUUGCACUAAAAUAUUUUCUAUUAUACCUCUUGGAUAUUUAACUGAACAAUUAGGGAGUUGUAGAGACGUUGUAACCUUCAAAUCCCCCUAAUCCCAAUUAAAUGUAUAUUGAGUAAGGCAUUAAAUUGAUACUUGCCCCUACAUCUAGCAAGCCUUUUUCAAGCUCUGUAUUACCAAUAGUAAUAUUUAUAUUAAAACUCCCAUGAUCUUUCAAUUUUGAUGGCAAUUUCCUUUGAAGCAUUGCACUUACCGUUUCAGAAACCAUUACAUUUUCAUGUGGUUCAUACUUACGCUUAUAAGUAUUAAGUCCCUUGAAUUUUUUUUGCAUAAGCCGGCAUGUUCCUAAUCAUAUCAAGCAAAGGUAAGUUCACAUUAACUUAAGAUAAUAUAGUGUAAAUUUUAGUGAAAGACUUAUCCCAUUUUCUUUUAUUUAGGCGGCUCACAAAUGCAACAGGUGGAACGUAAGGCUUGGGUACCUAGUCGAUAUUGGGUGUAGCUAAAGGGUGCUUCUCCUUGACUAGAGGAGCUGUCCCAACAAUUAGAACAUUCAUGUCCAAUUUUGGGUUGCUGCCCAUGAUCUUCUUGGGUGGCUCCUCCCCCAUCUCUUUUUCUUCAACUUUUUCACCUACAUCAUUAAUUAACACAUCAAUGGAUUUAGAAUUUAGUUUAGUAUUAAUUCUUACUACUCUGAAGUAUUGUUAUCGCCUUAGCUUACUCUGGUUAGCUUGGAAUUUUUCUAGGAACAUGGCUUCACAUGGCAUCUAUAAUCUGCCCAACUUGUACUUCCAACUUCCUUAGAGAUGCCUCUUGUUGUUGAAAUUUUUGUUCAUUCUUUGUUGGCUAUUUUGGCAUACUAGCAUGAAAUUAUUCAACGUGUCAUCUAACAAGGGCUUUCUUUGUUAGAAAGAAAAGCUAGCAUGAUUUUGAUAUUGGUCAUUAUUCCAAGAAAGAUUAGGAUAAAACCUCCAACCCGGAUUAUGAGUAUUUUAAAAAAGAUCAAAUUUAGACUUCCUAUUGUAGGUAUUCAUCAUAUUAGCUUACUCUUGAAAAUAUUCUGGAAAAACCUCACUAGAUGGACAAACAUUAGAAACAUGACAAAAAAUACCACAUAUUGCACAUACCUCACUAGAAGCAGAUCCAUUAUUCAUGACUACGUUGCUCAAUGUUUUGAUUUGUUUGGUUAAGUUUGCCACCUGCAUAGCAAGGUCAUUAUUAGGAAUGAUUUCAUAAAUGCCUGAACACUUACCUUUAACACUUUUAUGCUGAGAAAUUGCACCAAGCAUCUUAUAUAGCUCACAAGUUUGUUGUGCAGUCUUUUCAUCCAUGGCACUACCUACAACGUUAUCAAUAGUAGCCUGACAGGCUUGAGUUAAUUUAUCAUAGAAAAACUGAGCAUUUUAAAGCAUUCCUAAGCUUCAUGGAGUGGCUACCCUCCAUCUGGGAAAAUGUGGCGAUCUUACUCCUGAGUUCAGUAGUCUUCUGAUGCUAAUAACGUUUUCCAACAAACUUAUUGUAAACUGCGUGUUGCAAGUGCUCUGGGUGUCUAAGACAUAGUCAUUGCUUAGCCUUGUCCUUCAUAGUAUAUGGAAAACACCUCAUCCGCAAUUGAUCUUCACUAAAUCCCUGCUGAGGAAAAGUUUUAAAGUGUAGCAUAAAAAUCAUGAAUGAAUGAAAAAGGAUCUUCACUUGCAACACCAUAAAAAGAUGGAGGCAUAUUAAAAUGAGUAUUUUUCAGCUCAUAGUUUCUAGCAAUAGCAUCUAGUAAAAUGCAUGAUGGUGAUGAUUCAACAACUACGCAGACAAAUUCUUUCAUGGGACAUGGAUUUUCUUCUGCCAACUUCUUAUGGACGUCCUCUUCUCUCUCUUCUAAUUCUGAUGUGGAAGUUUCAUUUUGAGUAAAUUCAAAUUCACGAUCUAACUCUUAUCCUUCCUCGCACUUUUUUGUAGCUUUUCUUAUUCGACCAAUAUUACCGUCAAUCGGCAAUAGUUCUCCGUCUUUGAUUGAUGACCUGGCAUUCAUUACCUAUAAAACAAAUAAAUUUAGGGAAAUAAAAUAAACAAAUUCAGGGGACACAUAUAGCUAGAAAUAAUUAGAUAGGACUUUCAAACAAAUCCCCAACAGCAGCGCCAGAAACUUGAUAACAAAUUUAUUUCUAGCAAGUGCACAAAUUGAUAUGAUAGUAUAGUACAAGUGUCGUACCCACAUAGAUUUGUAAAGUUACCUAAUUAAGUCCAAUUAUGCAGUAUCCACAAGACUAAAAAUAACAAAAAUAACUAAACUAUGAAAUUUCAAAUAAUUAACCAAAGAGAAGUUGAUUUAAGAUCAAGUAAUCUAAAGUGCAGUAAAAAAAAAGUGUGUAAUUAAUUUCUGAAAACAAUGGUUGAAAUACCAGGUAUCCGACUUCCACCAUAUCAAUCCAAUUCUAUGUCAAUAGAUAACUUAGUAAAUAAAAAUUCAAUGCAGGUUUGUUCUCUCUUUAUUAUGAUCGUCAGUUAGGUGUCUGAAUGUAAUCAAGUACUUUUAAUCAUCAACUUAACAAUGACAUCUAGUCUAAGUCAACAAUAAAAAAUCCAUUAAAUACAAGAAGAACAAAGAGAACCAAAAAGUGUCUUAGCAUGGCAUCUACAUCAACAACAAUUCGUUCAUCCAAGAGAGAUAUCUCAGGGCUAAGCAUAUGGCGUUUACUAUAACCUUGUCUCGUACAUCUAAAAAUUCAUAUUAAAGGUAGCUAAUCAAUAACAUGAACAUAAAAAAUGAUUUAAGCACAAUGACUGAAACUAGAAACCUUUGAACUAAUAAAAGAAUAAAGUUAACUAAGACAUAGAAUUAUCAUAAAGGGCUACAUCAGAUCUCUAGUAAAGAAUUUAGUUACUCAUAGCCAUCAAAUUACAAAAUGUCAUAGUUAUGAAAAUCAUACAUGCAAAGUCUGAAAAGAUAUUGAAAAACCUUUAGAGAACCCUUGGUGUUUGGCAUUUUCCUUGAGUCAAUCGUCUAAAAAAAUCUCAUAAAGUGAGUCUCCCCUAAACGCUGCUGCUUCUCCUCCUUAAAAUAAACGUAGAAAAAUAGAGUUUAAGUCGGCCUUGCUGCCUUGUUGAAUUCCAGCCCAAAUAGGAGUACCAAUACCAUUAGACUUUGGUUUCCUUGCUCAAACUGAACUCCAAUUACCGUGAGCAAUUAUAAGUGUCUUCUAAUUGAAUUAGACAAGAGUUUGAUGCCUCCUAUCUGCCCAAAAAUCGUCCGCAACUUGAUCAUCCAAAGGCAACAAUUUGUACUCCACUUAAUUAGAAUCACGUAGAAUUCUUGAACUGACCUUCUUGCACUAAAGCUGGUAUAAUUUCUUCUAGAAACUUUAGAAUCAUGAUCCAUAAAAUUCUGCCAAAACUAGACAUUUGGAGCUUUCCAUACAUAUGUGGCACAACACCCAAUAUGUCCUAUUGAAUUUCUGACUACCCAAAGUAAAAAGACAGUUCUACCCAGCACCUUCCAGCAACAGUUAUAAUUUCCAAACAGUAGCCAUUAAAUUGCAGAUUGAACAUCCAAUUAGAAUCUGAUGAUCAUUAAAAUCCUUUUUUACUUCAUUUCUUUCCAGCUUUGGCCCUUUAGCCUUAAAUCACCAAAAGACUCCAAAGUCUUCUCUACGGUCCAUUAUCUACAAAAUACACACUAGACACAUCAAGCCACCAAUUUCACAAGAAAACAUAGCAUAAAACUUAGGAAAUAAGGACAAUAUAAAUGUAUAAAUAUUGUGUUAUCAAAUACCCUCAAACCUGUCUUUUGCUAGUUCUCGACAAAAAUUUAAACAAGACACAACUAAAACUAACAAUAAAAUGAAGAAUUAAUCUAAGCCACUUUCAUAGGGAAUCACGAUGGCACUCAGCAUGUGCCACAAGCCCUUAACCCCUAGGUGUCCCUAGUAGGAGGAGUAGUGUCUCUUGAGGGUUUACCAAUUAUGUUACCCACAAACGUUUUACUGCAAACAAAGUUGUUAAAGAUAUCACUUCCAUAAAUUAAUGAAAACCAACGUAUGCCAAUCACACUUCCAAAACUAAAGUUGUACCUUUAAAAGCCAGCACACCACAUGAAAAAGUAUGUAGCCAACAUCUCAAGCACUCAAGCUUAAAAGAAUCCACACUCGGUGUGUGCACAAAUUUGCCUUGACUUCAUUCUCACUUAGAUAUUUCUCAAUUUUCUCUCAAAACCUAGGCUUUCACUCUUAACAAGCAUAUGUGAUGAAGUUAUUCAAGGGGAAUCAAAAUAUAAUCACAUCUGAGUAAUAUUAAAAAAAACGACAAUUUCUGAAAAUAGAUCUCAUGAAAGGAAUCGAAUACUAAGAACAUAGCUAUUUAUCUUCAUCAUUUAAGCAAGGCUUCCAAAUAAAUCCGUUAGAUCUUUACUAUGGUCGUAAUGUAAGGCUAGGGUAAAGGCUACGAAAGAAGGGAUAGAGAAAAACUAAAACUUGAGAUAUACCUAGAUUUUUUCAUAUGCAGUUUGGCUAGCCCUCAUUUGAAACUUGAUGUAUGAUUUUCGAUGUCUAGGACUCAUGUAAUAAGAAAGGAACAAUUUCUAGUUUAUCUAAUUUCUUUGAUACAUUUUUCUUCCUUUUGUUUUUCUUUUCUUCAUUCUUUUUCUUUUCUUUUCUUUUUCUUAUUUUUUUUUCUUGAAACAAGAAACUGAAAAAUAAUGAUAUGACACAUAGUACCUCGGUACACAUCACUUCUUUGGUGUAGAUAUCAACCCUUAUUUUCAUUUUCAUCAUCUUGGUAUCUACCAAGCUAUAAGGUAUAGCUACAAUAGUGCAAAAUAGGUAGAGUAUAAUGUGGGGAAUGAGAUGAAAGAAUUGGCGAAGUGUUUGGCUUCAAAUGGGAUAUUGGCGCACACAAAAGGGAGGAAAUAAGGCCAUUUAGUGGUGGAUACAUGCAUAGCCUAACUUCAUCUCUAUAGUUCCAUCUAACCCAAUGGCAAAAGUACCCAACAUAUAGAAAAGUUCUUUAGCAUCCAAUGCAAAUUAUAAAAAUCAACGAAAGAAUUAGAAAAGGUGUUUAGGAGUAAAAACAAUGAAACACUCUCAACAAAAGCAUAGGCUCAAAAUCUCACAAGGGUAGUCUCCAUUAUUUCUCCAAAUAUCUGAACAUAGACAAUUUGUUCGCCAAAACACUUGAAACAUGGCAAAAUGAAUGAUUAAAAGUAGUAUGAUGCACAAACCUCUUAGGCAACCCAUUAGUAAAGGUAGAAUGAUUUAACACAUUAUAUACAUUGCCAUUAAUAAGUUAAAGUGACACCCAUAACAUCUCAUAUUUGGAAACACUUUAUUUUUGUGCUUUUCUUUAAGCCCCACCCAUGGUUUAAUUAAUUUUAAGACAUCCUCAAUGCAAAAUCCUAUGCAAUUCCUCAACGUAUGACUAUAAAAAGAAGACAACACAGAUAAAUUAUACAAAGGAAAAUGAUACAUCUAUCAUGGCUCCAAAUUGUGGAGGAAUGGUAGCUCAAACCACUUUUGUACGCUUGUAUACACAUGUGGAUUUCUUGUUGUUAAGUAGUCUAGUUUGGCAUGUAGUUGUUGUUACCGUAAGCCUAAUAUAUAGAUAUACUGAGAUCGGGCGACAAGAGGUACUUACCUUCUGCAUGCCGGGAUCAUAAAUGCAGUCUUUCGAGCUCUUUAGAGCGUUAGAAUGCGUAUUCUGGUCCUCAUGUGGGCGAUUCCCCAUCUUCUUGUUUCAUAAUUUUUAACUAAGCGGCAAACCCGACGUGACUGACUUGUUCUCUCUUCAACUCAUCGCUUUAUAGGUAGGCAUUUUUAUUGAGAAUUAUGGUAACCACCUUUUAAAAAAGUAGUCGAGCUCUCACAUGUGGCAAAAAACCAGUAGGGCAACAACAACAUUUCUUUCUUUUUCUUCGAUCUUAUGAGCUUUUGAUCCAUUUCAAAAAAAAAUUUGGUCAUCUGAGAAGCUCAAACCUGGUCCUAAUCAAUUAACUCAUUCUAGCAUGUCUACAGCCUCAAAUUAUCCUUCAAAAAAUUCCUAAAGAAAAAUAUACUCAGAAUCUCAAAUAUGCUAUGAACUGAAAAUGCAAUUUUUUGAAAUGAUAUGAUUAUCUUGAACCCAACUAAUGACGACAAAAAAAAAAUUCCUUAAACAUUUCGACAACCUGGAAUUUUCUCAUGGGUCAUAAAAUCAUUUUCAACCAAUACUUCUCAAACACAAAUUCUUUUGUUCUCUGACACAAAAAUUAAAAUAAGAAAACAAAAGUUUUCCACCCCCAAACCAAAACUAAACAUUGUCCUCAAUGUUUAUGAUAAAAAAUUAUGCAAUGAGUAGAAACGGUAUAGAAAGUAUGGAAACACAAACAAAUACAAAAACAAAAAUAAAAGAAUAAAGUUACCGAGGUGGGUUGCCUCCCACCAAACGCUUUAGUUAACGUCUAGGCAAGAUGGAAUGCACGGUUUAAGGCUUGUUUAGGUCAAAGAAAUCAACCACCUCAUGUGGAGGAUUUGAUUCAAAUAUGAUUGGAUCAAUAAAGCGUAACGAGAAGUGCUCAUUUCUAGUGGCAACAUUAAGCUUUCUAUAAUCAAUGCAAAUCCUCCAACCCUAGUCACCCUUGUUGGCACUACUUCCUUAUUGUCAUUAUUGACCAUCGUAAUUCCAUAUUUCUUUGGCACUGCUUUUGAGUCGGAAAGCUCGACAGGGGCAGUAGGUGCAACAUUAAGAGGCUGCGGUACUGUAGUUUUUAUUGCUUCCAUGAACUCCCCUAUAUCUUCAUCACAAUUCCCACCUUCUUCUACCAAUGUUAAGGUUUCUUCCAAUUUAUUUUUCAUUUUAUCAUGCGUCAAAUUAGAAGCAACAGCCGAAUCCAAAGAGUUAAUAGAAAAACAAUCAAUCAUACACAUUGGAAGGAUGAGGUAGGGAAUCAAACAUUUUAAAUUCUCCGUUCACAUCAAGGAUUGUCACAGUGAGCUUGCCAUUCUAAACAUCAAUAAUUGUCUUGGCAAUUGCCACGAAUGAACGUCCAAGCAAAAUAGGAAAUUCCUGAUCAUGAAUUGGUGCAUCCUCCAUAUCUAAGACUAUGAAAUUUGCAGGAAUGAUUAGCUUAUCGACUUGCCCAAAAAUAUUUCCUACAAUACCUCUUGGAUAUUUAACUGAACGAUCAACCAGUUGUAGAGACAUUGUUGUAGGCUUCAAAACCCCCAAUCCCAAUUAAAUGUAUAUUGAGUAAGGCAUUAAAUUGAUACUUGCCCCUAAAUAUAGCAUGGGUUUUUCAAGCUUUGUAUUACCAACAAUAAUAUGUAUAUUAAAACUCCCAGAAUCUUUCAAUAUAGGUGGCAAUUUCUUACAAAGCAUAGCACUUACCGUUUCAGAAACCAUUACCUAUUUGUGUGGUUCAUACUUACGCUUAUAAGUAUUAGGUCCCUUGAAAAUUAUUGCAUAAGCCUGCAUGUUCCUAAUCAUAUCAAGCAAAGGUAAGUUCACAUUAACUUUAGAUAAUGUAUUGUAAAUUUUAGCGAAGGACUUAUCCCAUUUGCUUUUAUUUAGGCGGCUCGAAAAUGGAACAGGUGGAACGCUUGGGUGUCUUGUGGAGAUUGGGUGUAGCUAAAGGUUGUUGUUCAUUCACUUGAGGAGUUAUCCCAGCAAUCAGAAUAGGUCCAUUCAUGUCCAAUUUUGGGUUGCUACCCGUGAUCUCCUUCAAUGGAUUUAGAAUUUAGUUUAGUAUUAACUACCUUACCACUCCAAAGUAUUGUUAUCGUCUUAGCUUGCAUUGGUUAGCUUGGAAAUUUCCAGGAACAUGGCUUCACAUAGCAUCUGUCCAACUUGUACUUCCAGCUUCCUUAGAGAUGCCACUUGCAGUUUAAAUUUUUGUUCAUUGUUUUGUUGGCUAUUUUGGCUUACUUGCAUGAAAUGAUUUAACGUGUCAUCUAACGAGGGCAUUCUUUGUUGGAAAUAAGAGCUAGCUUGAUUUUGAUAUUGGUUAUUAUUCCAUGAAAUUAUGAUGAAACCUCCAACCCGGAUUAUAAGUAUUUAAAAAAGAUAAAAUUUUGAUUUCGGAUUGUAGGUAUUUAUCAUAUUAGCUUGCUCUUGUAAACAUUCCAAAAAAGCCUCACUAGAUGGACAAACAUUAGAAACAUGACAAAAAAUACCACAUAUUGCACAAACAUCACAAGAAGCAGACCCAUUAUUCAUGACUACAUUGCUCAAUGUUUUGAUUUCUUUGGUUAAGUUUGCCAUCUGCCUAGUAAGGUCAUUAUUAGAAAUGAUUUCAUAAAUGCCUAAACACUUACCACUAACACUUUUUAUGCUGAGAAUCUGCACUAAACAUCUAAUAUAGCUCACAAGUUUGUUGUACAGUCUUUCCACCCAUGGCACCACCUACAUCAUUAUCAACAGUAGCCUAAUAGGCUUGAGUUAAUCCAUCAUAGAAAAACUGAUUCUAAUUCUAAAGUAUAAUGAUAGUGAGGACAUUGGAUUAGAAGCAUUUUAAAGCGUUCCUAAGCUUCAAGGGGUAGCUCACCCUCCAUCUGGGCAAAAGUGGCGAUCUUACUCCUAAGUUCAAUAAUCUUCUGAUGCUAAUAAAAUUUUCCAACAAACUUAUUAUAAAUUGCUUCCCAUGUUGCAAGUUAUAUGGGUGUCUAAGACAUAGUCAUUGCUUAGCCUUGUCCUUCAUAGUAUAUGGAAAACACCUUAUCCGCAAUUGAUCUUCACUUAAUCCUUGCAAAGGAAAAGUUUGAAUUGUAGCAUAAAAUCACGAAUGAAUGACAAAGGAUCUUCAAUAGCAACACCACAAAAAGAAGGAAGCUUAUUAUAAUGAGUAUUUUUCAGCUCAUAGUUACUAGCAAUAGCAUAUAAUAAAAUGCAUGAUGGUGAUGUUUCAACAACUGGGUGGGCAAAUUCUUUUAUAGGACGUGGAUUUUUGUCUGCCAUCUUCUUAUAGACGUCCUCUAUGUCCUAUUCUCUAUCUUCUUAUUUUGAUAUGGAAGUUACGUUUUGAGUAGAAUCAAAUUCACAAUCCAACUCUUCUUCUUCCUAGCAAUUUUUUUGUAGCUCUUCUUAUUUGAUCAAUAUUAUUGUCAAUCGGCAAUAGUUCUCCGUCUUGUGAUCAACCACCUUGCAUUCACUACCACAAAAACAAACAAAUUAUGGGGGACACAUAACUACAAAUAAUUAGAUAGGACUUUAAGACAAAUCUGUAGCAGCAACGCUAUAAACUUGAUCACAAAUUUAUUUCUUGCAAGUGCACGAAUCGAUAUGAUAGUAUAGCAAGCAAAUAUGAGUGUCGUACCCACAUAGAUUUGUAAAGUUACCUAAUUAAGUCCAAUGAUGUUGUACCCACAAGAAUAAAAACAACAAAAAUAACUAAACUACAAAAUUCAAAUAAUUAAUCAAAGAGAAGUUGAUUUAAGAUCAAGUAAUCUAAAGUGCAGUAAAAAGAGAGUUUGUAAUUAAUUUUUGAAAACAAUGGUUGAAACACCAGGUAUCCAACUUAGCCAUAUCAAUCCAAUUAUAUGCUAUUAAACAACUUAGAAAAGAAAAUUCAAUUCAGGUUCUAGGUUCUUUCUCUCUUUAUUAUGAUUGUCUUUUAGGUGUCCAGGUGUAACCAAGUACUCUUAAUCAUCAACUUAACCAUGGCGUCUACUCUAGGUCAAUAAUAAAAAAUACAUUAAGUACAAGAAGAACAAAGAGAACCAAAAAGUGUCUUAGCAUGGCAUCUACAUCAACAACAAUUCAUUCAUCCAAGAGAGCUAUCUCAAGGCCAAGCAUAUGGUGUCUACUAUAACCUUGUCUCAUACAUCUAAAUAUUCAUAUUAAAGGUAGCUAAUCAAUAACAUGAACAUAGAAUGAUUUAAGCACAAUGACUAACUAGAAACCUUUGAAUUGAUAAAAGAAUAAAGUUAACUAAGAUAUAGAAUUAUCAUGAAGGCUACGUCGGAUCCCUAGUAAAAAACCCUUGGCAUUUGGCUUUCUCCUUAAGUCAACGGUCUAAAACACUCUGAUGAAGUGAGUCCCCCCCCCCCCAAACGUUGCUGCUUCUUCUACUUUAAAUAAACGUAGAAAAAUAGAAUUUAGGCUAACCUUGUCGCAUUAUUGAAUUUGAGCCCAAAUAGAAGUCCCAAUACCAUUAGACUUUGGUUUCCUUACUCAAACUAAACUCCAAUUACUGUGAGCAAUUAUAAGGGUCUUCUAAUUGAAUUAGACAAGAGUUUGAUGCUUCCUAUCUUCCCAAAAAUUGUCCACAUCUUGAUUUUCCAAAGACAACAACUCGUACUCCACUUAUCCAGAAUCGUGUAGAAUUCUUGAACUGACCUUCUCGCACUAAAACAGGUAUAAUUUCUUCUAGAAACAUCAGAAUCAUGAUCGGUAAAAAUUCUGCCAAAACUAGACAUCUAGAGCUUUCCGUACAUAUGUGGCACAACACCCAGUUUGCCUUGAUGAAUUUCUGACCACCCAAAGAAAUUGACAGUUCUGCCCAACACCUUCCAGCUCUAGAUAUAAUUUCCAAAUAACAGCCAUUAAAUUGUGGAUUGAACAUCCAAUUAGAAUCUGAUGAUCGUUAGAAUCCUUAUUGACUUCAUUUAUUUCUAGCUUUGAUCCUUUUAGCCUUAAAAUCACCAAAAGACUCCAAAGUCUUCUUUAUAGUCCAUUAUCUAUAAAAUACACACUAGACACAUCAAGCCCCCAAUUUCACAAGAAAACAAAGCAUAAAACUUAGGAAAUAGAGGCAAUAUAUAUAUAUAUAUAUAUGUAUGUAUGUAUAAAUAUUGUGUUAUCAUCAAGUUUCGAGCUGGAACUACCAGAUUUUCAUCAUCUUGUUGUAGCUGGUGAUGAGCUGUUGCUGGUAGCAUGUGACACGGGUGAUAACAUUCUCGUGUUCUUCCUCUGCCAGGUAUAGAUUUGUGGCCAUCUUGUUGGAAAUGUGCCCUAAAACCAAUCAUAUGAUGAUACUUUACGGACAUUUCACAUGUUAAACUAAUAUAGUUUAAUUUAAAAGGCAAAGAUUAUUGUUUGAAGCUAUCUCAUAUAAAUGUUAUACACUUAAACGAUAAGUCCAAGGAAUAUGUAAUUGGGAGAAUGCGAUCUAAAGAAGUUAGAUUCAUGAGACCAUUCUCUUUCGUAUACAUAUCCUAAACGUUUCUGAUCAUAGGAUUGCCAAUUGGGCAUUGACUAUCCGUUAAGAUCAAUACGUGUUAUGUCUUCUCUUAGGGAGAGUGACUGGUCUCGAGUCAUUGGUGCGACUGAUACCAAGACAAGUACGUAGGUGCUCAAUAGAGAAUGAGUUCACUGAACGCGAUCAACAAGGAGUUCUCAUACUCAUGUCACAUGAGAACUCAUGGUUGGGAUAAUGCAAAGUAGUCUUUUGACCUGAGGCAUCAUAGUUUUCUUGUGGUUAAGUCCUUGAUCUUUGACUAUGUCAAAGUCACUCCGUCAGAGGGUGUUCACGGCAUAGUUGGGGUUAAGCCACUUAGCCAUGGAGGCAAGUGAAUGCACAACAAGGGAUCUCUAACCUUAAAACCGUUUGAGGGAGAAUACUCUAUGAUAUGAUUAAGAAUCUCUGGCCAGAGUAUGAAUGAGAUAUAGGAAAUCAUUCCAAAUCACAUUCAAGGUAAUCAUAUAAGUAAGAGAAUCACAUUGGAUAGUAGACAUGAAUAAACUAUCAAACUAAACAAUAUGGUCAAGAGUAUUGUAUUAGAGAAAGACCGUAUUGCAUUGUAAUCCUAAACUGAAUAGGUUCUCUACCUCUUCUGAUCAGCUUGGGUAACCAUGACAUACUGCUAGGUGUCACUCAUGGUUUGUGGAAGCCCUAAACGUGUAUAAUCACUAAAAGGAGAAUUGAAAGUAAGUUUCAAUUCACAAUCGAUUUGAAAGAGUUCUAAUCGCCCACUGCCUCGCUAAAAGGAACCUAAUGGAUCGUACACCGUGUAAGGUAGAGAUUGAAGAAACAACGAAGAUGAGUAAGGACAAUUAAAUGGUUUAAUUGUUUAUGGCAAGAAUUAAUUAAUAUGUUAAUUAAUCAAACGAAUAAGUUCGUUUUAAACCUUGAGUUAGUUUUGGGCCUUAAAGCCCAAAUUGGGCUUUGAAUCAUCAAGCCCAUUAGCUUAAGUUGUAUGACAACUUAACAAACAAAAUUCAAGAAGCCCAAAACAGCCCAAAGGCUUGGGAAAACUGGCCAUAUAGAGAAGGGUAGUGAACUUGGUUUAAUUGCAAGUUUGCCACUCCAUUGUGAUGUGGUAUAAAGGCAACUUUAUAGCCAUUUCAUCCUUAGGGUUUCUUUUGGAGAAAAGAUGAGAACACAAGCUCCAUUUUCUCUCUAAGAGGCCGGCCACCCUAGAGGAUUUUAGCAAGCAAUCUUACUUCCUCUAGGUCACUCAUCUCUUCUUCAAGUCAUUCCUUGGUGUGGAGACUUAGAGGUUCUCAACUUUGGGAACUUGGAGAAUCCUUUCAACCAUCUUCAUCCAAGAAAUCCAUGGAGCUAAGAAGCAAGGAAUGAAGGCCCUCUCCUUGGGUGAUUAGCCUUUGCUUAUGCAAAAAGGAAUCAACAAAGGUAUAAAAUUUCUCAACUCACUUUGUUCUUGGGUUGAGUCUUGGUUCACAUAACUACUAGGCUUUGAAUUUCAUGGGUAAUGUUUUGUUUUGAGUGCAUACAAGCAUGAUUCCGCCUUUAAUUGUUAAUUGCAUGCCAUAGAUGUUGCUCAAAUGAACAUGUUUCUCACAAAAUUUCCUUCACAUCUCGUUUAUGUUUUUCUUAGGACUUGGCAGUAAAGUGCUGAUUUUGGGCACGAUGACAUUGAGAGGAAUAAUCGUCUCUUAAACCGAACACCAGGGAGAAAGAAUUUUUGCUGGUUGCUCGUCAUUUGGUUGUGUGAUAGGCCCAUAGAACACUGGGAAACUUGUCUGGCCAAUUUGUCUUGAUUGUCUUAUGGGAGACUUUUUGAGGCAAUCUAAGAUAAUCUGGUAAUCUUAUAUGACACCUCGUCUUGCUUAUUACCCCGUGGGUGUUUAGGCAUGGACAUGUACUUGUGUUGCUUGAUCCAUUACUUCUGGAAAAAUCUCACCAAGUAUUUGCCUAUGAAUCGUGGGCCGUUGUCUGUGAUAAUGGAAUGUUGGGUGCUGAACCGACAAAUGAUGUUCCUCCAGGUAAAUGUCUCUAUGUCCAUCUGGGUAGUUGUCGUCAUGGGUUCAGAUUCAACCCAUUUUGUGAAAUAGUCGUCUGCUACCACUUGUCAUGCCUCUGUCCCCAAUAGUAUGAGCCAUUGGUCCUACAAAGUUAAUCGUCCUCUGCAUGGCUGGCGAAGGGCUUAUCUGCAAAUGAAGUUCGUUGGUAGGUAGUGCCGGCAGUUGCUUGAAGCACUGGCAGCUGUCUUACCUUUGUGUAAGUUCCUCAGUGUCUUAAUACAUGGUCAAUAGCAGUAUCCUGCAUUAAAAGCUUUUUGAGUGGUUUCUAUAAUCACUUUCCUAGAUCAAGCUAAGGACAUUCAGGUUGUUAAGAGGUGUAAGGCAGCAGAGAUGUGGCUCAAUGAAGAAUCUUUAAACAAGCAUGUCAUCCCUCAUGUAGUAGUGUGUUACUUUCGUUUAGAACUUUAUGGACUCUGGCUCAUCUUCGAGGAAUGCUCGAUUGACUAAGUAGUUAAUAAUAGAAUCUUACCAACCCUGGGUUAUGUUAAUUCGUGCCACCUUGACUACUGGUUCUGUUUAUGUGCUUGACUAGAAUAGAGUGUCUGAAUUGGCGUUCAAUGAUCUAUGUCUGCUAGUGUGCCCAUGCGAGCACUUUCUGUUUGUGAAACCUAUAUGAGGGUGUAAGUUGGAACAUCGUGAGCUGUUUUUCACCUUCUCAAGGUAUUGGGCCAUCUUCAGAUGCUUUGUCGUGUGCUCCCCAAAGGCUUGACUAGUGCUUAGCUGAGAAUAUGAAUAGAUCACGAGCUAUUUCAUUGUUAAGUCUUUCACUAAUUGGGGGCUGCUAAUAAAACCUCGUAUUUUUCUCCGCGCUAAAUGUUUUGAAGUCUAGAGGGUCGUAGACAUAAUUGGCGUAGUGGGGAGUUACAAAGCUUGAGUCAGCGUGAUGGAGAGCCACGAAGUAUAAAUCUCACUACUGGGAGCCAUGGUAUAAGAUAGGCAGAAGGGAGCUAUGGAGCUAGGGUUGUGUUACGCGCAGCAGGAGGCGAUGCUCAACUACCAGCAUCAGGCCACUCUAGGGCCAUGUUAUGGAGCAAGGGCUGGCUAAGGCCGUGUGACGUGUAGCAAGAGGUGGUGCUUAACUGCCAGUACUAGGUCAUUUAAAGGCCGAGUUACAUGCAGCAAGAGGCGGUGCUCAACUAUCGGUGCUAGGCUGCUCCUAUGUAGAAUCUUUUGGGGUGAGAGGACAAGUUUACCUAUUAAUAAUCUGAAAAACCUUGGAAGCGACACGUGGACCUUCAGUAAAAAAGACAAGAUUACCCUUAUUAAAUAAGCGGGGCAUCCCAUACACAACUCAGCAUACUAGGACAAGCAGGCAUCAACUACGACUACUCAUAGCUCAUUACACGUGGAAAAAGUCAAAGGUUUUUAAAUGAUAGGAUUAUCCCUAAAUCCUAUCAUUAAUACAUUCCCAAUUGAAGACAAAAUCUAUCAAGUAAGUAAUCCCCGAUCACAUUUAUUCUAGGAUAAUUACCUUUGAUGCCAAGAUAUCCUUUACACAAUAUCUUGGGAAUAUUCUCACCAAAUCAACCCUAAAUGCUGACCACUUCUCCUCUUAAUACCUCAUUUCUCCACCAAAAAUGGUACGCCUUUUCUAUAUACAGAAAAUCCUAAACACUCAUUCUUUCCAGAAAGACCAGCUUAGGCAUCACAAAUCCAUUGGCCAGACCCUCUACUCAUAGUUGGCUCAUGAGCCUUUUGGUCUUUUAUUAAAGAAGUUGAUUGUUUUGCAUGUGCAUUUUCGCAAGACUGAAGACAGGUGGAAUUUGCAGUGGCGGGUAUAGUUUUGGAAAUCAAGAAUUAUUAUGGAAACUACACAUAAUUGUUGUUAUCCAAACCUUUUUCAUCUUAAUAAAAACUAGAAUAAAAAGUUGAGAGAGAUGGAGAUUUGAAAAAGAGGCAACAGGGGCAAAGUAAAGAAAAACAAAGAGCAGAUAGCUUUUCGAAGAGUGGUUUUAUUUUUUAUUUUUUAUUUUUAUUUAGAUUAUGUUCCCAAUCCAUAGGAUAGCUUCCAAGACAAUUGGGCAGCUCAUUACAUUUCACUUCUGCCAUACAUGUGGCAGCAAAUUAGAGUUCAUAAAAUAUUACAAGUUUACCAAUUGGAACAGUUUGUACAUCAAAAUAUAAAGGGGCAAAGUAUUUACUUUAAACAUUCCCUUUUAAUGCUUUGUUGCUUCACUCCCGGAAGUUAUCUUAGGUAUAUGAAUUUGUCCUUUGGUAAAGCCUUGGUGAAGAUAUCAGCAACUUGAUCUUCUGCCCUGCAGUAGACCACAUCCACUUCCUUGUCUUCAACACCACCUCUGAUGUAGUGAUGCUUUAAAGCAAUAUGUUUUGAUUUACUAUGACAUACAAGAUUCUUGCUCACGACAAUAGCUGACUUGUUGUCAUAAAGGAUAGGACUUGCUGAUUCUUGUUCUCACCAAAGUCUUGUAUAACUUUUCUUAGUCACACUGCUUAAGAAGUUACAAUUGAAGCCGACACAUAUUUAGCCUCUGCUAUUGAUAAUGCAACUAAUUUCGGCUUCUUAGAUACCCAAAAGAAUACACCAGUCCCUAUUGUAAAAGUAUAAUGAGAUGUGCUCUUCAGGUCAUAUGCACUGUCUCCCCAAUCACUAUCAUAGAACCCAAAUAAUUUUGGCUCAACAAUCCUUUCAUACAUAAUAACAAUGUAAAGUGUACAUUGUAUGUAACUUAGGAUCCUCUUUGCAGCCCCAUAGUGAAUGUGAGUAGGCUUGUGCAUAAAUCUUUACAACAAGCUUGCAGCAUAUAUGAUAUUGGGUCGAGUUGUUGUCAAAUAAAUCACACUACCAUCUUCUCUUUGAAACUUUUCAUUCACAACUAGAGGUGUUGCAACAGGCUUACAACCAACCAUUUUGAAUUUCUCUAGAAGUGUUUUUGCAAUCUUUUUUAGUAAUAAAGAUACCAUCAUUUGAUUGAAUGAUACCAAUUUCUGAAAAAUAAUGCAACAUGCAUAGUUCACUCAUCUCAUAUUUCUUCAUCAUGUCAUUCUUGAAAGUCAAGAUCAUUCUAUCACUACUUCUAGUAUAAACCAAUUCAUCAACAUGAAGGAAACAAUAAGGAUAACUGAAGUACAAUUAGUUUUGGCUUAAUGAGCACGUUCAUUGUCACUUCUUUGAAAUCCCCUUCAUUUGCACUUCUUAGAGCUUAUUUCAAGCCCUAAAGUGCAUUUUUAAGCUUGUACACCUUGUUCUCUUGUCCUCUAAGCGCAAAUCCUUGAGGUUGAUUAACAAACACAUUUUCUUUUAGGACCCCAUUUAGGAAAGUGGACUUGACAUCAAGUUGGUGCAUGAACCACCCCUUCUGUGCAGCUAUAGAAAUAAAACCUAUGACGGUUUCAUGCCUGCCUACUUGUGCAAAGGUUUCUUGGAAGUCAAUCCCGGGUUUUUGAGAAUAAUCCUUUGUUACCAAUCUAGCUAUGUUCCUCUGAAUGGAACCAUCUUGAUUGAGCUUAGUCGUAUAAAUCCACUUCACUCAUAAGGUCUGUCCAUUAGCUCUCAUGUCUUGUUUUUCACAAUAACAUUGAUCUCUUCUUGCAUUAUAGCCUUCCAUGUCUCUUUUUUCACUGCUUCAUCAAAGUUUUCUAGUUCUACAACAUAUAAAUUGCAACUUUCAUAAACUUCAUUUAAGCUCUUUAACCAGACCAGCAUUGAACUUGACCUAAAAGUGUGGGAGAGUGAACUUGAGGGCUAUUUUCAAUUGACCAUUGCAAGUUUCAAGCUCCAUUUCCUUUUCAUUUAACUGAUUUUCUUCUUUAAUUUUGAUUAGUACAUAUUUUUCUCUGGUAUUAGUUUGAUUCCAAUUCCAAGAAGAUUUCUGACUAAAGAGAACAUCUCUACAGGUCACCACUUUCUCCUUUUUUAAAAUUGUAGAGUCUAUACCUUUUUGUGUGUGAAGUAUAGCCUAUGAAAAUGCAUCGUUCACUUAAUUCAUCAAGUUUUUGUUUUAGCUUUUUCGGAACAUAAGCAAAGCAGAUUGAUCUAAACACUCUCAAGUGAUUCAUGGAAGGUUUUCUUACACUUCAUGCCUCAAACGAUGCCUUGCCUUCAACUUCCAAUGUCGGAUGCCUAUUCAUCAAGUAUACCGCUAUAUUAACUAACUCACCCCAUAGAUAUUGAGGCAUUCCCUUAUCAUGCAACAUUGCUUUAGCCAUUUUAACAAUUGUUCUAUUUUUUUCUCUCAGCUACUCCAUUUUGUUGUGGAUUGUAGCUGACAAUGAGUUGCCUUUCCAAACCAAUAUCUUGAAAAGACUUAUCAAUUUAUGUGGAUGUGUACUCCUUUGUCACUUCUAAGAAUUUUGAUUAGAAUGAAGGAAAAAAUUUUGUCCUAACUAAGAACAUACAAGAACAUUGAACACAUAAGCAUACAUAUAACACUUUAAAGUAGGCAUUGAUUCAAAACAAUUCUAAAAACCAUGACUUUCAAUGCUUAGUGAAUGGUGAACCAUAAGGCUCUUUAACAAAUUAAAGAGAAGAAAAAGUUUGAGUUUCAUUACCCUUGAAGCUCAUCCUUGUUUACACAAAGGAUUUACUCAAGUGGAGGGCCUUCAAGUCACCUUCUUGCUCCUUGGAUAUUUGCUAGUGGAUGGCCAUUCCCUUAUUGUUUAUCCAUCUUAUUUACAUUUCUUCACUUUCAUCCUUACUCAAUGUACAAUCCAUUUGGUUCCAAUUAGUAAGGUUGUGGGCAACUAUUACUCUUAACUAUCGAUUGUGAAUUGAAAUCGCAUAUCAAUUCUCUCUUUGAUGAAGAUCAGUGUUUGCUAAUCUUUAGAGCUUCCACAAACCAUAAGUGAUAACUAGCAGCAUCUCAUAACUACCCAAGCUAAGUAGAAGUGGUUGGAGAACCAAUCCAAUUACAACUACAAUGCAAUACAAUCCUUUCUCUAAUACAAUAGUCUUGAUCACAUUGUUUAUGUAAUAGUUUGUUUUUUGUCUACUAUCCAAUGUGAUACUUCUCUCUGUGAUUCAAUUGAAUAUGAUUUGGAACAUUCUUCCUAAGUCAUAUUUAUAUGCAUUGGCAAAAGACCCUUGAAUCAUAUCUAAGAGUAUUCUCCUUCCACAAUGGAAGGUUAGAGAUCCCUUGUUGUGCAGUCACAUGCCUACAUGACUAGAUAGUUUGACCCCAAUAAUUCCUUGGACACUCUUAAUGGAAUGUCUUAACAUAGUCAAAGGACCUAAUCAUUAGACAAAUAUGAUGCCUCAGGUCAAAGUUUACUUUGCUUAUUGCAACUUAUGAGUUCUUACGUGGCAUAUAUGUUUGCACUCUCUUUUGAUCGUAGUUCAGUGUACUCAAUUACCCUUUUGAGCACCUAUGUGUUUGUCUUAGUGUCCAACAUUAAAUGUCUUGAGACUAGUCAUAUUCAUGCUUGAGUCCAUAUAACACAUACUAACCUUAGAGGAUUGUCAUGCCCAAUCCUAUGGCUAUGAACGUUUUAGAAAUGAACAGAAGAGAAAGGUUUCAUUAAUCUGACUUACUUAGAUCAUUUCUCUCUUAGAUUGAAUGCAUUCCUUUAUUGGUUAGCACAUGAUACAAUAAAUAGUGAUUAAAAAUAAGUUUUGCCCUUCAUUAAACAAAUAAGAGUUUAACAUAAUGAGUAUUUCGAAAGCUAUUACAUCAAUGAGUGGCUUUAUGGGCAUACUUCCAACAAUGUUCUACUUGCACUCAAAGCCACAGUUCCAUAUAUCUAAUACCAAUCUUUUUCAUAUGGCGGUCAAGUUGGACUUGAGACAUUGGCUUCAUUAGUGGCACUACUACAAUAUUAGCUUUAGGUGGCGGAUAUUAGAAAAAUCUUGUCGGAUAAAUUAUAUCCGACACAUCAUUUAAUUAGUGGCUGAUAUUAGAAAAAUCAUGUCGGUUAUAUCCGACAUAAAGUCCUGGUGGAUAUCAAAAAAAUCAUGUCAGUUAUAACCGACGAUAUUUUUUAAAUAUUUUUAACACAUUCUGGCGGUUUUUAAGUUAAUGGUAGCGGUUAUAAUCGACAGAAAUUGACUAUUUUAUUAUUUUACUUUAUGGCGGUUAUUAUUUUAGUAUUCUGGCGGUUAUAACUGACAUAAAUGAAAAUUUUAUUAUUUUAAAAUGUUAUAUUGAUUAAAAGUAAAUAAAUAAACACAUUUUAAAUAUAUUUUUUUCACUCAUGACCCUAAAGUCUAAUGAACCCAAUUCCCACUAGCCAUAAAUUUUCUGAGAGAAAUAAUAACAACAAACUACAAUCUGAAACUCAAUUAUUUUUGUAAUAAUGAUUAUGCUCCCUCACAGGGAAGCAAUAAGAUACAAAGAACUUCAAACAAUUUUUUUUCAAUGCGUCACAAAGAACAUUGUUUGGCACAUAAACACACAUGAACAUCUGGUUUACUCUAUCAUGUCUGAUUUUAUUAUUUUAAAAUGUUAUAUUGAUUAAAAAUAAAUAAAUAAACAUAUGUUUUUAAUUUUUUUUUUCACCAUGGCCCUGUCGGAUAUAACUGACACGAACAAAGUAAAAUUUUGGACGGCCGCCAAAAUAAUCUCUGAAUGUUUAUUUUUUGGUGAUUUUUUACACAUGCUAUCUUGGAGUAUAUACAAACAUAUUUGAUGGUUGAAUCGUUGAAACUAGUUUCGUAGAAUGCAUAUCCUAUCAAAUUGGUAGAUUUAACAAACACUUAAGAGUUAAUGUUAUACUUCCAUUAAAUAUAAAAUAAGAUUUAUCAACUAGUGUAAAUAUUUUAAAUUGAAGAUCGAAUUCAUUCAUUACAUUCUUAUAGGGUCAACGAGUGUAGCUGUAAAAAAAUCAUCAAAAUCAGAGCUAAAAUAACCGUUAAAUUAUGAUUUUUCGUUUAUAACCAUAAAAAACUGUUGUACCAUUACCUAAUCUCUGAAUGUGUACAAACAAGUUUGACGGUUGGAUCGUUGAAAAACGUUUCGUAGAAUGCGUAUCGCAUCAAAAUGGUAGAUUAAACAAACAUUUAAGAGUUAAUGUUAUACUUCCCCAUGAAGUAUAAAAUAAGAUUUUGUGGUAUCCACUAGUGUAAAUAUUUUAAAUUGAAGAUCGAAUUUGUUGAAUGUAUUCUUAUAGGGUCGAGGAGUGUAGCUGUAAAAAAAUCAUCGAAAUCGGAGCUAAAAUAAUCGUUAAAUUGUGAUUUUUCGUUUAUAACCAUCGAAAACUUUUGUUCCGUUAUGUAAUCUCUGAAUGUUUGUUUUUUGUGAUUUUUUACGUAUGCAAUCUCGAAGUGUGUACAAACAAGGUUGAUAGUUGGAUCAUUGAAAACGCUUCGUAGAAUGCGUAUCGCAUCAAAAUGGUAGAUUAAACAAACACUUAGAGUUAAUGUUAUACUUCCCCAUCAAGUAUAAAAUAAGAUUUUGUGGUGUCCGCUAGUGUAAAUAUUUUAAAUUGAAGAUUGAAUUCAUUCAUUGCAUUCUCAUAGGGUCAAUGAGAGUAGCUGUAAAAAAAAUCAUCAAAAUCGAAGCUAAAAUAACCGUUAAAUUGUGAUUUUUCGUUUAUAACCAUCAAAAACUUUUGUUCAGUUACCUAAUCUGAAUGUUUUUCUUUUGCGAUUUUUUACUUAUGCCAUCUCGGAGUGUGUACAAACAAGCUUGACAGUUGGAUGGUUGAAAAACGUUUCGUAGAAUGCAAAUCGCAUCAAAAUGAUAGAUUAAACAAACACUUAGAGUUAAUGUUAUACUUUCCCAUCAAGUAUAAAAUAAGAUUUUAUGGUAUCCACUAGUGUAAUAUUUUAAAUUGAAGAUUGCAUUCGUUCAAUGUAUUCUUAUAGGGUCGAGGAGUGUAGUUGUAAAAAAAUCAACAUCAGAGCUAAAAUAAUUGUUAAAUUGUGAUUUUUCAUUUAUAACCGUCGAAAACUUUUGUUCCGUUACGUAAUCUUUGAAUGUUUGUUUUUUAAGAUUUUUUUCGUAUGCAAUCUCAGAGUGUGUACAAAUAAGUUUGACGGUUGGAUCAUUGAAAAAAGUUUCGUAGAAUGCAUAUCGCGUCAAAACAAUAGAUUAAACAAACACUUAGAGUUAAUAUUACACUUCCAUUAAGUAUAAAAUAAGAUUUUGUGGUAUCUACUAGUGUAAAUGUUUUAAAUUGAAGAUCGAAUUUGUUCAUUGCAUUCGUAUAGGGUCGAGGAGUGUAGUUGUAAAAAAAAUCCAUCACAACUGGAGCUAAAUAACUGUUAAAUUUUGAAGUGGGAAAAGUAAUUUGUGCUAAAUUUUUAUUUAUGUUUUUCAAGAUUGAUUAGACAAUAUUUGUGUGACGAAAUUUUUAUUGUACAAUUAUCUUUUUGUUUCUGUAUCGCAUAUUUUACAUGGGUUUUUAUCUAUUAAGCCAAACAAUUAUUUAUUUAAUUUUUAAAAAGUAUUAUAUUUAAAUACAUAUUAUUUAUUUAUUUAUUAAACCAAACAAUUCUUAUUUUAUUUUUUUAAAUCGUAACAAAAAAUUUUUUGGGGGGCGGGAUUUAAAAUUUUGGGAGGAUUUUUGCCACCAUUUUUUUUUGUCUGUUGUAACUAACAGUAAUGAAAAUUUUAUGUCAGUUUUUAUUUAAAAAAAUGUUUAUGUUGGUUUUAAUCGAUAGUAAUGAAAAUUUUCCAAAAUAAAACCCCUCCAUCUCACAUCACAUGGCCUCUAUGGGUUUGGGGUCGAAGUAUCAACAAGCAAAAGCACAGCCACAGCGACAGCCAGACCACAGUGAGCCACUGAACCAAGUGACUCGCCAAGCCCCCCAAAUGGACUCCUACAAGGUACUCUCUCUUUCUCCUCACUUUCUCACACAUUUCUCAGCCACCUCUUUGAGCUCUGCUCCUCUUAGAGGUUUGCUUCAUCCGCGUAAAGGUAGGGUUUUGGUGCUCAGAUCGCCCUUGAUCCCCCUCAACUCUUCACUUUCGUCACUAAUUCUAGUCGAUCUGCAACUUUCUGCGUCUUUUGAGGUUUUACGCACCUCGCUGGAGUUUCUCUCCAGCCAGAUUUUGUGCUUUUUUUUUUCAAUUUUUUUGUUUAAUUUUGGUAUUUCUUCUAUUAUUUCUGUAGUUAUAAUAAUUUUUUAUAAAUUAUGUUUUCCUGAAUGAAGUGGAGCUGCUUUAGGACAAUUAGGAGAAAAAAUUAUAGAAGAUGUGGGAUUGGGUUAAAUUAUAAUUGCAUUUAUAAGCUUGUUAAGUUACUUAAUAUGGAAAUUAAAGCUUAGUUGAGUUAAGUUUAGAAGUUCUUAUUGCUCGAACUUUCCCACUCAGCAGCCAAUUUGAGCAAUUGGGAUUUGUUGUUUUUGAAUUGUUUCCUUUUGUGCAAAUUCAUAUUUUGGGGUAUCACCCGUAAAGGGCUUACUAGUUUCAAUUGCAUUUAGGCAGGGUGAAUCCUUAGCAAGCACUAGCCUGCCAGUCAUAUUUUUUCAAAGCAAGCCUGAAGUUUGUGCUUGUGUUUGAACUUUUGUGUUUCUGUAAAUUGCAAGAAAUGUCAACUCCUGUUAUGGAGGGAAAUGAUGCAGUCACCGGUCACAUUAUUUCAACAACAAUAGGUGGUAAAAAUGGCGAACCCAAGCGGGUUAAUACUGGUUCUUUCUUCCAUCCUUUACCCCUUUUGAUCCAUUUGAUGGCUAAAACUAUGAUCAAACCUUUCUUCAUCCCAUUUAAUUCCUUUUAUAACACAAAAAAGCUGUGCAGUUUUCUCAUUCAUAAUCAAGGAUUACAUGACAUGAGAGAGGAUAAAUUCCAUGUGAACACUAUUUUUGGUCAAUUUUUUAUUUCAUGUUCAUCAAAAAGAAGUUCUAACAGUUGAGGCUCUUUGUGAACAUUAUAAUUUUUCAGUUUCCAUUUAUUUUUGUAUUCUUAAGUGUUCCUUUUGUUUUUAAUUACAGAUGAUCAGUUAUAUGGCAAAACGUGUUGUAGGUACUGGAUCAUUUGGAAGCGUUUUUCAGGUAUAUAUUUACUUUAAUGACAGCUAAGCACUCUCACAUUCUAAUCAUUAUUUCAAGCAGAAGGGGAAAAGAAUGCUCAACGAGAAGAAGGGAGAAUGCUCUCAUGUCUUUUUUUAUUUUUUUUAUUAUUAAUAUAUUUGCUGUCGAUUUUAUCCAACAAAGAAUGCUUUACUUAUUCAUUAUUAAUAUUUCCUGUCGAUUAUAGCCGACACAAGUUCUGUCGGUUAUUUGUAUUUUCUGUCAGUUUUAGAGUAUUUUAUGUUGGUUUUAUCCGACAAAAAAUACUCUUAUUUAUUCAUUAUUAAUAUAUUCUCUGUCGGUUAUAUUCGACACAAGUUCUGUCGAUUUUAGAGUAUUUUUUGUCGGAAAAUUCAUUUUCUGACGCUGGCAAAUCUGUCGGUUAUUAUAUCCGCCACUGCAUCCAUUUUCUAUCAGAUUUUGCAUAAUAUCCAACAGUAAUUUAUGUUUCUUGUCGGUUUUUGGACCGCCAGCAAUAGAUAAUUUUGUAGUAGUGUGGAUCUGCUACAUUAUAGUAGAGGCAACCUUGAGAAAUAGUUCCAAACCACAUAACACCCUCGGGAUUAGAUUGAGGCAUUCACUUUGCGAAUUGAAACAAUCCGGACGGAUGUGGUAUAACUGUUUGAGUAGGUACCUGAUUGGUCAAGGAGAUAUGAAUUAAAAAAUAUGUCUUUGCGUGUUUAUAAAGAAGUCACAUUCCAGACCCGUGAUAGUAGCAAUUUAUGUUAAUGACAUGAAUCUUAUUGGGAUUAACGAAAAGCUUGAGAAAAACAUCGCUGGGUUUAGUGAUUUAUCCGACAGCCUUACUGGGAGCUCCAGAUCGAAUAAUUGGUCCUCAUAUUCCAUCUUUUUACUUUUCUUAUAAUAAGUUUUGACCUACACCCUGAGUAGAGAUGUAUGCUUUAUAUAGGUAGUGGAGUCAUGUGUACUCAUGGGAUGACAUUUUUUUUUAGUAAUGAAAAUUUUUCAUUUCAUCCAAAUAAAUCAAGAUCUAAGUAGUUGUUCAGUAAACUAUUAUGCUUCUCACCCCAACACAUCUAUUCGAUCGAAGCCAACCAUUGAACCUUCAAAAACAAGAUAGGGUGCUUCUGCCUUCUCUUCUCAAGGAGAAUCACCCUGAUAGGAGCAUUUGUAGAGGCAUAAAGGGAUAUGCUAUAAAAAAGUCAAGGAUAAACUUGUAUUGCAGAAGCAGUCCUAUCACCUGAAGUCCAAAUUUGAGAUGAAAGAUCUUGGAAAUAAUUGAGCAUUUCGGCCUUGAGAUCGAGCAUCAUUUUGACGGUAAUUUGGUACACUAGUCGAACUACACCUAGAAGGUGUUGGGUCACUUUAAUCAGGAUAUGCAAAGCCUUCAAGCACUUCUAUGGUCGUUUGAAUGUUGGAUGCAAAACGAGACAUUUUCCAUCAUAAAUAUAAUAAGGAAGAGGGUUUGGAGUCUGAAACUCCAUAUAUGACUGAGGCUUUCUUGUACAAAACUUAACGCAAUUCACCGUUAAUCCUUUGGUAAGAUAUAGCAAUGCAUCAAUAGGCCAGCACUGGAAUGGUGUUAAGAAAUCCUUUGUUACCUUAAAGAUAUUAUUAGAUUUGGGCUUAUUCUAUCCUUCUGAAUCUCAGAAUAGAUCAUAUCCCUUGGUCUUUAAAAUGAUAUUUUACUUGUUGGUUAUACUAACGCAGGUUAUUUAUCUGACCCACACAAGGCACAUUGUCAAAGGUUAUGUCUUUACCGUUAGACACCGCAAUAACGUGUAGUUCAACCAAACAAAACUUAGUUAAGACUUUUUUGAACCAAGCUAAAGUUAUUGCCUUUCAGGAAGUUACAAGUGAAUUCUUUUGGAUGAGAGUAGUUAUUGAGCAUAUUCAAAGCAUUUGUGACUUUUUUCCAUCUUUGAUAUUCUAACAACGAUUUAUGAAGAUAACAUUGCUUGUAAUGACCAUAUAAAUAAAUGAUACAUCAAAGGAGAUGACAAAAAACAUAUUGCGCCGAAAUUAUUUAUCUUACAUCAGUAGCAAGAGCAUCAGAUGAUUGAAGUGAAGCAAAUCCAAUCCCAAUGCAACCUUGUUGACCUAUUCACGCAAUCACUACCAAAGUCUACUUUUCAAAAGCUUGUUCAAGGAAUUUGUAUGCAUAAAUUGUCUGAUUUGCAAUGUUUGUAGUUCUCAUUUGGGAUUUGUCAAACUUAGGAGAAUAUCCUAAAGUAUACUCAUUUUACCUUAAUGUUCUCUUUUACCAACAAUCAAGGUUUGGGUUUUUGUUGCCUGUCAAGGUUUUCAUAAGGCACUUACCCUGGGUUUGUCAUAUCCUUGUGUGCGUUUUCUUACAUCCCAACAAUGUUAGUUUUGACUUGUUUCAUUGACUCACUUUCUCUUUAGACUAUGGGUUUUUUGUCACACCCAAGGAAUUAAAUAUCGAUAUUAUCGGUGAUAUUUCGCCGAUAAUAUCGUUUUUUUAGAGGACGAUAUUUUCACACUUAUUCACUUAAUUAUCGUCAAUAUAUCGAUUUUUUGUCGAUAUUAUCAGCAUUUUAAUACAUUAUUUAGGUAAUAUAUUGCGAUAUUAUCGAUAAUAUCGAUAAUAUUGCGAGAUGAACUUGUAGUACAUUGGAAAUAAGAAAUUAAUGAGCAAAGAAGAGAUCGAUGCGCUUUACCCUUGUGCGUCAGCAAACCGUGAUGGCUAAAAUAGAUGAGCUGGGCUUAGGUCUGAUGGUUGUGUUUAAGUUUAAGGUUUGAAAUAGAUGUGAGAGAGGGUGGAGAUAAAUGAGACUUAUUUCGGUUUCUAUAAAGAGAGAGAGAGAGAGAGAGUUUUGAUUUUCUUGGGAGACAUCAGAAAUGAAGAAGGGUUUCAGAAAUAAGUGGCCUUUCAAUUGGAAUCCUAGGAGCUCCUAUUCCUGAUGCAUGACACGUGUGGGCAUCCUAAGCCUUCGUGCUACCCGAGGAGCAACGUCUGAAUUAGAGAUAAGGGGAGCUCUGGGCUCGAGGUCAUAAAGCUGAAGUGAGAGUGGGGGUAGCUGCUAAGGUUUCAAAUGUCAAAUGAAGCUAUUACACUAGCUUAUAUUAUAGCUGUUGCAAUGAAUUGAUGCAAGUGUGGCCUUGUGCGUGUUGGUCAGUGUGUCUUCAUUAGUUUUCAUGUCACGAGUUCGAUACUCCAUGGCGGUUGUUUUGUGUUUCUUUUUCAUUCUUUUUCCAGAUUAUAUUUUUCUCGCGAUUUAUUUUUAAAUUUUGGACUUGUUGGAUACUCUUUUUGCAUUUUAUCAUUAUUUUAUUAUCUUAUCCAUGAAUUUCAUACAAGUAUAAUUUUUUGUAAGUAUCAAUAUGCAUUUAUUUAUAAGAUAUAUAAGAAAUUUACCUAAAUCCGCCUAGACACCGUCUAGCCGCCUAGGCGCCAGCCCGCCGCCCGACUAACGCCUAACGUUUUUUAGAACCUUGGCAUAGAGGGAUUCGAACCCCUCCCUUUGUCAACCACACACCUGGGCCUUAUCCAACUCGCUACAGAUGUGUUUGUGAUUACAUAUUCAGCCUGUAAUAUUUAUAUGGUUGUUAAGAUGUCUGCAAGGCUUGCAAGCUAAUAUUUAUUAUCUAUGAUAAAUUUCUAUAUUUAAAAAAACACCACCUGGGCCUUAUCCAACUCGCUACAGAUGUGUUUGUGAUUACAUAUUCAGUCUGUAAUAUUUAUAUGGUCGUUAAGAUGUCUGCAAGGCUUGCAAGCUAAUAUUUAUUAUCUAGGAUAAAUUUCUAUAUUUAAAAAAAAACAUCAAGGGGAUUCAAACCCCUCCCAUUUUACUCCUUCAACACCUUGACCACCAUAUCACUUAUGUCUUUGUGAAAAUAUGCUAAAAUAUUUAUAUAUAUGGUUUUCUUUUGAAUUCUUUUUGCAAGAAACAAAUUUGCACAUGACAAUGAAUCUUUGACAAUUUCUUUUCAAGUAUCUACUUUUGAACUACUCUUCACAAUACACUUACUCUACAUAUAGAGAUGAUGAAGAUAGUGAAAAUUUUGAACCUCAUAGGAACUCUAUGUGGUACUAAGUCACUCAUGUAUCUUAUCAUGCAAUGUAUAAAGUGUAAAAUAUUAUACUAAUUCAUUAUAAAUGAAUGAUUAUGGUGUGUUUAAACUUCUUUCAUUAAUUACUACAUAUUUUCUACACUCACAAUGUUUGCCAGCUCGCUAUAUAAUCAACUUAAACCAGUUAAAUCCAUUAUGCAAUGUAUUUCCUUCCAAUUUUUUGUGAUAAACUAAUAGAUAAUUGACUAAAUAAACAUCCUGCAAAGUUUCAAUAAAAAUUUCCAAGUUUUUCUUACAAUUUCCGUGGUUUUUAUUCAAUUUUUAUCAAUAUCGAUAAUAUCCCGAUAUUUCCAUCAAAAUUUCCGUGUUUUUGGAUUACCGAUAUUUCCGAUAAUUUAGACCUUGGUCACACCUUGGAUUUUACCAAAGCAAGGUUUUGUGAGGUUAAAUCUUAUAUGCAUUUUCCAUAUUUAAGGCUCGCAUUCACUUUGUGCCGACUAGACGAGAUAACAUCAACCACUUCUAUAUCAUCCAUGAAGAUUUGAUGUGUCAUUUACUUGAGUAUUUUACAUGCAUAAGGGGGAGUGUUGUUGUUAAAAUUAUAGCACACAAGUGAUUGUGUAAAUCCUAAUAGAUUGUGUUUAGGAAUCCUAUGUAAUAAUGUAAUCUAGAAGAUCUUAGGCUUUCUUACUUGUAGGGCAAGUAAGCCCAUUAUGUCUACAAUAAAUGAAAACACAAAGUAGGAGUAAAUAACACACAUAGAAUUUUCCACCUCUCUUUUCUCUCUUUUCGACCACACCACUCUCUCUCCUUUUCAGUUAAAUUUAGGCCUACAACACUUUUAGCUUUUGGUUAACAAUUUUUUUGUUGUUCUUUCCUGAAAACAUAAAACAGUUACCAAGCAAGUUUUUAGUUUUUGAAAUUCUAAAAGAAAAAAAAAUUGUUAUCAAAUGGCCCCAAAAUCAAGCAAUAUUUUAAAAACUCAUAACGUAGCUUUCAAAUUUUUUGUUUUUCGUUUUCAUAUUUUUCAAAACAGUUACCAAAUAUGUUUUUAGUUUGAAAAAAUAAAGUAAAAACAAGAAUUAAAAAUUGAAAACGAAAUGAUUAUAUCAAACAGCCCAUAAGCCUCGUAAGUUUGUUGAGACUAAAUGACAUCCAUCUACCUAGCUUUUAACAAGCUACUGAUUGCAAUACACAAUAGUGAACAUGCAGUUGAGUGAUUAGCGAUUACCACUAACAUUCUAGCCAUAGUUGAUUUCAAACACAUAAAUGUACUCAAAGCAGUAAUGCACCAUUUAGUAUUAUGGUCUGGUGGUAUUCUUCUUCACUUGUAAAUGAGAGGUCUUAGAUUUGAUUAUUAGCAAAAACGAAUUUGAGCCACAUUAUUGCUAACUCAUUGCAAAGCUAAGCUCACCACUUCACCCUUAGAGUAGUUCCACUGUGGGUUAAUCUCCUCACCUCCCCCCCUCCCAAGCGGCCGCCCAAAAAAGGGCUUCAGCGUAUCAAGUUCACUAGGCUCCAGGGGAUCCCAAUUUCUCUCCUAGGCAUAAAUCGAUAGGCCUAGCACCUGGCUUAUGUUAUACAAUGCUGACGUCACUGUGCUUAUGUUAUACAAUGCUGAUGUCAUAGUGACGUCAGCAGAAAUUAAAAAUACAAAAAUUAUAAAUAAAAAAAAGUUAAUUAAAAAUACAAUAAAAAUAUUAAUACAUAACCAUGUUAUUCCACUUUACACCACAUUUCAAUAUUUUCAAAUACUUUCAACCAAUCUUUUAUUAUUAUCCAAAAUUAAAAAUAAAAUUAUUUUUACCAUUUAUAAAUAAUAAAAAAUUAUAUAUAUAUAUAUAUAUAUAUAUAUAUAUAUAUAAUUAAUACAAAUUGUCUAGGUUAUUCAGUGGUGAAAAUGCACUUGAGCAGUUACCGUUCAUUACAGGCAAUUAUUGUUCACUAAGGGGAUUGUGUUGCCUAUAGCCCAAGGGGCCUUACUACACUGAAAAUGCUCUUAGGGUAGAUAAUAUCGUUUGUUCAAUAAAAUAAAAUAAAUAAAAUAAAAAGACAAACAAACAAAACAAAAACAAGCGGCAAUGCUGUUGAGGACAGCGCAAAUCAGUAAAGUAAAAAUCUGCUGCCCAUCGGGUUGCACCACCGAAAGAGAGCAACUAUGAAAGACAACAACAACAACAACAACAAAGCCUUUUCCCACUAAGUGGGGUCGGCUAUAUGAAUCCUAGAACGCCAUUGCGCUCGGUUUUGUGUCAUGUCAUCCGUUAGAUCCAAGUACUCUAAGUCUUUUCUUAGGGUCUCUUCCAAAGUUUUCCUAGGUCUUCCUCUACCCUUUCGGCCCUGAACCUCUGUCCCGUGGUCACAUCUUCGAACUGGAGCGUCAGUAGGCCUUCUUUGCACAUGUCCAAACCACCGUAACCGAUUUUCUCUCUUCUUUCCUUCAAUUUCGGCUACUCCUACUUUAUCUCGGAUAUCCUCAUUCCUAAUCUUAUCCUUUCUCGUGUGCCCACACAUCCAACGAAGCAUCCUCAUCUCCACUACAGCUACGUGUUGAUGCUUCACCGCCCAACAUUCUAUGCCAUACAGCAUUGCUGGCCUUAUUACCGUCUUAUAAAAUUUUCCGUUGAGCUUCAGUGGCCUACGACGGUCACACAACACGCCGGAUGCACUCUUCCACUUCAUCCAUCCAGCUUGUAUUCUAUGGGUGAGAUCUCCAUCAAAUUCUCCGUUCUUUUGCAAGAUAGAUCCUAGGUAGCGAAAACGUUCGCUCUUUGGUAUUUCCUGAUCUCCGAUCCUCACCCCUAACUCAUUUUGGCCUCCGUUUGCACUGAACUUGCACUCCAUAUAUUCUGUCUUUGAUCGGCUUAGGCGAGGACCUUUAGAUUCCAACACUUCUCUCUAAAGGUUAAGCUUCGUGUUUACCCCUUCCUGCGUUUCAUCUAUCAACACUAUAUCGUUUGCGAAAAGCAUACACCAAAGAAUAUCAUCUUAAAUAUUAAGUUUGUGAUCUUCGCUAGAUUGCUCCGGUCAUUAGUGUGGAUAAGUAUGUAAAUGGAUAGAGACAGGAAGCAAACACAAGAUGUACGUGGUUCACCCAGAUUGGCUACGUCCACGGAGUAAAGGAGUUCUCAUUAAUUGUGAAGGGUUUACACAGUAUAUAGGUUCAAGCUCUCCUUUAGUGAGUACAAGUGAAUGAUUUAGUACAAAUGACAUUAGGAAAUAUUGUGGAAGAAUGAUCUCGUAAUCACGAAACUUUUAAGUACCGAAGUAUGGUAUCAUCUUCACUUGCCUUAUCUGUCUCAUAGGUAGAUGUGGCAUCUUCUUUGGAAGUACUCUUCCUCCCUCCAGGGGUGGUAUCUUUAACUGGUGGAGAUGCACAAGGUAAUGUAUCAAUUUCACUUGACGCUUACUUGUAGUUUCAGGCUUGGUCAAACGCGAUACAAACCAUGUAGUAGGAGUCCCCCAAGUCGCCGAGCUAGGGGAUCUGCUGAAAGAGGUGACAGACAAGGUAAGCAAUCAGAGCUCCAAGCAAUCAGUCCCAGAUCAGAAGUUUUGAUUUCGAGUUCCGGCUGAUUGUUAUCCUUCUCCUUAUCUUGCAGGUAGAAUGAAGGAUAAAGAGAAGAAAAGGUGAUAUGAGAUACUUUUGCUUUUGAAGAAGUAACUUUCCACAGGCUUAUUCUUGAACUGGGCUGGAGGGUUUUCUUGUUUCCACCAGAGUAUAAGGCCGACUGAAGAAUUUGAGGGUCAAAACAAGUCCAUCAAAUCUAGAGUACGUUCGACCCUGCUGAUAUGGGAUACUUUUGCUGUUGACAAAGUAGUGGAUGUAUCGGCAUGUGUUCUGUUGCGCUUGUCUCCACAUGCUUCCUUGUAUCCUUCUCACUUGCCCUAUUUGUUCCUCAGGCAGAUGUGGUAUCUUCUCGGGAAGCAUAAGAUGUUGAAGAUGAGUACUCGAGAGCAAUGGGGUUCCAGGCAGUCAGUUCCGGACUGGAAGCUUGACUCCAAGUGCUGAUUGAUUGCUCUCUUUCUCCUUGUCUUGCAGGUAAGAACAAGGCCAAAGGAAAAGACAGGAAAAAAAGCAUGAUAUGGGAUACUCUUGCUUUUAACCCUGAUGAUAUGAGAUAUUCUUGCUCUAGUGUAGCUUGUUUGCAGAGGUAUUCUCGGGGGGAAAGAAAGCUGAGUAUUUCGAGAGGCUUCGUUGGGAAUGCCCUCUCAGAUAUGAGGAAGGGUUGAGCAUUUUUGCAGGUCUGCCUGUCCGUUGAGGAUGGAGGUCGACAUAUAUAAGAGUCUCAUUAACAAGGAGUAAUACUAUUCUUUUACCCUGCUUGGUCAUAGCACAGUAGUGGGAGCUGCCAGCUUCGUGUUUUAACUCUGUCAUAGCACUUUGAAAAAGUGGUUUGUGGUAUCUGGAAAGCUGAUGUUACGUGUGAAGAUUACAGACAAGCUUUAUCCAAGGAGAUCUGGCUCUCGAAGUUGAGAAAGCGGUGUGAGGAUUACAGACAAGCUUUAUCUAAGGGGCUCUCGAAGUUGAGAAAGCGGUGCCUCUUCGGUUUUCGAACAAGCAAUCCUGUCGGGGAUCUGUCUCUCGAGAUUCGGAGAACGGUGCCUCUUCGAUUUUUGAGAAAGCAAUCCUGCUAGGAGUCUGGCUCUCGAGAUUCGGAGAGCGGUGUCUCGUCGUUUUUUGAGAAAGUAAUCGUGUUGGGAGUUUGGCUCUCGAGAUUCGAAGGACGGUGCCUCUUCGAUCUUGAAGCAAGCAAUCUUGUUGGGAGUGUUUUCUCGAAUGUGAGUAAAGGUUAGGUCUGUUUGCUAGUCUACCUUGCCACGGAGCACAGAGGUUGACCCACAGGGACUUUCCAAUUAUCCAGCAAUGGUCCUGUUCCUUUACCCUUGUGGGUAAUAAUAUGGUAGCUAUACCUUCAAAAUUUAUGUGUCUAAACUUUGUUAGUGCUGUUUCUUUGCUAUUCUUUUACCCUUCUUGGUCAUAGCGAUGUAAUGGGAGCUACAAGCUUCACGUGUCUAAACUUUGUCAGAGAUUUUUGGCAAAGUUAUCUGUGGUACCCGUGAGCUGAUUUUGCGUGUGGAAAGUGAAUGAUUGAACAGUAACAUUCACGUGCUUUCUACUUCACUAGAAAUCUUCGACAGAAUGCCCGUAAUUUCCGCAAAGUUGAGUGUGCAUGUGACAGGUGCUGACAAGGUUGAAAAAGCAGGUGCCUCUUCGAUUUUUGAGAUCGACCCUCGUGGUCUCUGAGCAGCCUAGCUUUUGAGAAAGCAAGCGUCUUUUCGAUUUCUACGAUCGACCUUCGUGGUCUUUAAGCAGCCCAGCUUUUGAGAAAGCAAACGCCUCUUCGAUUCCUGGGAUCGGCCCUCGUGGUCUCUGAGCAGCCCAGCUUUUGAGAAAGCAAACGCCUUUUCGAUUUCUAAGCAGGCGCCUCUUCGAUUUCUGAAGCUCCAUCGAGUGCGGAUUUUUAUAGAGGUUGGUAUUAAGUUCCAAAGCACACUUGAAUAUUCACCAGUAGAAGCUCCCUUCUUGCAUUUCUAAGAUCUUGAUUUGUCCGACUUCUUUUCUCUUCAACACCUUUGAAAAUGUUUGGCCCCUCCGACCGUCGUUUUGACUUGAACCUUGUUGAAGAGGCAACCACGCCUUCUCCAGACAACAUAUAGCGCCUAUCCUUCGUAUCCCCUACUGGUCCUCUUACCGUUAGGGAUUCCGUGAUGAAGAAUGAUAUGACCGCUGCGGUGGUGGCCAGAAACCUUCUCACUCCCAAAGAUAACAGACUAAUUUCCAAACGGUCUGAUGAGUUGGCUGUUAAGGAUUCUCUGGCUCUCAGUGUUCAAUGUGCAGGUUCUGUGUCUAAUAUGGCCCAACGCUUAUUUGCUCAAACCCGCCAAGUUGAAUCAUUGGCGGCUGAAGUGAUGAGUCUCAAACAGGAGAUUAGAGGGCUCAAGCAUGAGAAUAAACAGUUGCACCGGCUCGCUCAUGACUAUGCUACAAACAUGAAGGGGAAGCUUGACCAGAUGAAGGAAUCUGAUGGUCAGAUUUUACAUGAUCAUCAGAGGUUUGUGGGUUUGUUCCAAAGGCAUUUAUUGCCUUUGUCUUUUGGGGCUGUACCGCGUAAUGAAGCUCCAAAUGAUCAACCUCCGAUGCCUCCUCCUUCUAGGGUGUUGUCCAGUACUGAGGCUCCGAAUGAUCCCCUUCCGGUGCCUUCUCUUUCUGGGGCUCUGCCGACUGCUGAGACUUCUCCUAAGCAACCUUUGUGAAGGCUCCCUCUUGUUUGUUUAUUUUGACUCGUGUAUAUGUACAUAUUUGUAACUUCUUAGAGAUAUCAAUAAAUAAGCUUUGUUUCAUUUCAACGUAUUGUGUUAAAUACACCAAAGCCUUCUUCACUAAGUUCUUUGAAUUUUUCUUUUGUUGAAGCUUAUAUGUUGAAGCUUAUAUGUUGAAGCUUUGUGAGUGGAGCAUGUAGGUUGAGGUAGUGUUCCUUUAAUUUCCCGGGUGGGGAAAACUUCUCGAUUUGAGACUUGAAAAAUCCAAGUCACUGAGUCAGGUCGGUUAUAUGAAUCUUAGAACGCCAUUGUGCUUGAUCCUGUGUCAUGUCCUCCGUUAGAUCCAAGUACUCUAAGUCUUUUCUUAGAGUCUCUUCCAAAGUUUUUCUAGGUCUUCCUCUACCCCUUCGGCCCUGAACCUCUGUCCCGUAGUCGCAUCUUCUAACCGGAGCGUCAGUAGGCCUUCUUUGCACAUGUCCAAACCACCGUAACCGAUUUUCUCUCAGUUUUCCUUCAAUUUCGGCUACUCCUACUUUACCUCGGAUAUCCUCAUUCCUAAUCUUAUCCUUUCUCGUGUGCCCACACAUCCAACGAAGCAUCAUCAUCUCCGCUACACCCAUUUUGUGUACGUGUUGGUGCUUCACCGCCCAACAUUCUGUGCCAUACAACAUCGCCGGCCUUAUUGCCAUCCUAUAAAAUUUUCCCUUAAGCUUCAGUGGCAUACGACGAUCACACAACACGCUGGAUGCACUCUUCCACUUCAUCCAUCCAGCUUGUAUUCUAUGGUUGAGAUCUCCAUCUAAUUCUCCGUUCUUUUGCAAGAUAGAUCCUAGGUAGCGAAAAUGAUCGCUCUUUGGUAUUUCCUGAUCUCCGAUCCUCACCCCUAACUCAUUUUGGCCUCCAUUUGCACUGAACUUGCACUCCAUAUAUUCUGUCUUUGAUCAGCUUAGGCGAAGACCUUUAGAUUCCAACACUUCUCUCCAAAGGUUAAGCUUCGCAAUUACACCUUCCUGAGUUUCAUCUAUCAACACUAUAUCGUCUGCGAAAAGCAUACACCAAGAAAUAUCAUCUUGAAUAUGUCCUGUUAACUCAUCCAUUACCAACGCAAAAAGGUAAGGACUUAAGGAUGAGCCUUGAUGUAAUCCUACAGUUAUGGGGAAGCUUUCGGUUUGUCCUUCAUGAGUUCUUACGGCAGUCUUUGCUCCUUCAUACAUAUCCUUUAUAGCUUGGAUAUAUGCUACUCGUACUCCUUUCUUCUCUAAAAUCCUCCAAAGAAUGUCUCUUGGGACCAUGAAAGAUAACCAAACAUAAACAACGACAGCAAUGCACAAAGGAAGAACAAUCAUGAAUCAAUAGGGCUUCCCAACCAAAUCAAGGACGUAUGCCUAGCCGAGUCGAAUCACCAAAAAAGAAUCACCCACUAAACCAACAAAAGCAGGAGCCUGAACAACAAGAAAGACACUGGGAAGCCACCAGGAAUAUCACACACCAGAAUACCAGGAAUAGCACACACCAGAAUACCAUGUGAUCACAAAUAGAAGGAGAUUCCACUCCGAACAAAUGUUCAAAGAUUAGCAAGAUGAGACAGCUUGAAGCUGUAAAUGAUGCAAUAUAAUUAGUUGGGAAAUAUAACUUUAUGCUGCCUACUGUGAAUCAUAUACAAGAACCACUUAAAUCAAACUAUAGAAGUUUGUAAAUGAAACAUAUAUAUAUAUAUAUAUAUAUAUAUAUAUAUAUAUAUAUAUAUAUAUAUAUAUAUAUAUAUAUAUAUAUAUAUAUAUAUUAUAACUUUAUCUUUUCCUAAGGCACACGGGAUGACUAAUAAAGUUUAGUAUACCUGAUGUCGACUUGCAAUCAAAAAGUCACAAGAGAAUUUUCAAAAAUGGCUUCCAAGUCUUCCUCCUCAUGUCCACAGCUGAAGUAGUUAUCUUCCAACUCUUCACUGCCUACAUUAUCAUCAUCAUCAUCUGACUCUUUCAUCACCACCACCGGAGAACCAAUCUCUUCACCAAUCAUUUCUCUUUUAGCAGUAACUGUUGUGCCUUGGCCCGUUUAUCAAUGCGGAAACGAGAUUCAGAUUACAACCUCACCAAAUCACACUCAGUUGAACAGAAUAAAAUACAAGAAAUAAAGACACCGAGAAAUUUACGAGGUUCGAUAAAAACCUGCCUACGUCCUCCGAGAGAUGUUGCUCUUCACUAUGAGAAUAACUAGUACAAGAUACACUUGAGUUAAAUCGACAUAACCCAAACCCCAAUCCCUUUGUACCCUCAUAGAAUUUUACUAAGAGACUCACUCUCCCUAAGAGUUUCUCACUCUCACUCUAUAUUUUUCUACCACCCGUUCUCAUCCGAAUGCACUCUCAAUAUAAGGUCACUCAUACUCAUAUUUUAUUCCCAACAUCAUGAUGUCUUGAAUAAUCAUUAAAGAAAAAACACCACCUUUUCUCUUUUCUUACAAUGAUGAUGUCUUUACUCAUGAUUAUGUCUUUACAUGAUGAUGUCCACUUCUUUAUUUAGUUUACAAGCCGAAAGGCAUUUGGAUUGUGGUAGUCACCAUGUCUUCAAUUGUUGUCAACACAUGACUUAUAAUUACUCACAAAUGUAUGAGCCAAACACAACAAUCUCCACCUUGGCGAAUACACCAUGCAAAAAUCCUUGCACCCAUCACCAAGGCUCAUUGGCCUUACGUAUCAGCAUACACACCCUGAAUCAACCUCGUUGGUCCUGUUCAGAUUCAGUUACUGCCAAUGCAUGUGUAGCUGCUGUAAGCUAAAAAUCACAAUUUAGCUUCAGACAGGAUCUCAACACAUCCUCGUCUCCUCCAGCAGGUUUUUCUCCUCUUCAUUGUCUGCAACUUGGAAACUCGUCAGCGUGCCCGUUUCCAGCAACACCCGUCGAGCCAGACAAAAUUACCACACUUCCUUUCCUCAGGACCAUCUGAUCACCUGUGAAUCCUAUAGCUCCACCUACUGCAAAACCCCUGCAACACUUUAGACUAUACAUCACCAGGAGAAGUGUUGCUUCGAGUACCUAGAGGGCAUACUCGAAGUCUUCCACCACAAAAUUGCUACAACCCGGACCAAGAUCAUCCUUUCUUUUUCUCAAAGGACAAUUUUUCCUUUUAUGCCCGAAUUAUUUGCAGUUGUAGCAUUGUAGACCCUUGCCUCCGGAACCGGAUUUGAACCUGUUGUCUCUCUCAGAUCCUUCUCCCAAUUUUCUUCCACGAUUCCAACCUUGAACAGCUAAAGUAGUCUCGUGCCCACCAUCAACAAUGGUCUUCUUCUUUUGUGUAUCAUAAGACACCAAAGAAGCCUGCACCUGCUCCAAACUUACUGUAUCUUUUCCAUGCAGUAAGGUUGUCACAAGAUUUUCACACGAAUCUGGAAGUGAGGUAAGAAGUAAGAGGGCUUUUGUCUUCUUCCUCAACCUUAACAUCAACUUUCCGCAAUUGAUCCAAGUAUCCGUUGAACUCAUUCAUGUGGUCCAUGAGAUUCCCGCCUUCAUCCAUCUUUAGCUUGUACAGCUUCCGCUUCAGAUGUAACUUGUUGGUCAAACUCUUAGCAAUAUAGAGUUUUUCCAACUUCUCCCAGAGUGCAGGCGCAGAAUCUUCAUCCAUAGCAUUAUUGAUAAUGUUGUCAGCUAUACAGUGUCGAAUUGUGCUAACACAACGCGACUCCAGCUCCUCCCACUGGUCAUCUGUCAUUUCUUUAGGCUUCCCAUCUUUUCCCUUCAAAGCUCUAGCCAAGCCUUGUUGAGUCAAGACAUCCUUUACUCUCAUCUACCAGAGAGUAAAACUACCUUUCCCAUUAAACUUCUCAACUGAAAAUGACAUGUUUGUAGUCAUCAUGGUGAAUAACAAAUCUGAACCGUCAAUGAACCAAAGCUUCCAACAAAGCUCUGAUACCAAUUGUUGUGCCUUGGCCCGUUUAUCAGUGCGGAAACGAGAUUCAGAUUACAACCUCACCAAAUCACACUCAGUUGAACAGAAUAAAAUACAAGAAAUAAAGACACCGAGAAAUUUACGAGGUUCGGCAAAAACCUGCCUACGUCCUCCGAGAGAUGUUGCUCUUCACUAUGAGAAUAACUAGUACAAGAUACACUUGAGUUAAAUCGACAUAACCCAAACCCCAAUCCCUUUGUACCCUCACAUAAUUUUACUAAGAGACUCACUCUCCCCAAGAGUUUCUCACUCUCACUCUAUAUUUUUCUACCACCCGUUCUCAUCCGAAUGCACUCUCAAUAUAAGGUCACUCACACUCAUAUUUUAUUCCCAACAUCAUGAUGUCUUGAAUAAUCAUUAAAGAAAAAGCACCACCUUUUCUCUUUUCUUACAAUGAUGAUGUCUUUACUCAUGAUUAUGUCUUUACAUGAUGAUGUCCACUUCUUAGUUUAGUUUACAAGCCGAAAGGCAUUUGGAUUGUGGUAGUCACCAUGUUUUCAAUUGUUGUCAACACAUGACUCAUAAUUACUCACAAAUGUAUGAGCCAAACACAACAGUAACUUCAUGGACCAAUACCUCCAUAGAUAUUGAGAUAUUCUUUGGCAUUACAAGGUGUGCACCGAAGCUUUUAACACACAAAGAACUGUUGAAAGGAAGUUGAAAACUAACUCGACACUGUGAAGGUGGCUGUGGACACGUAGACUCGUCAAGCUCCUUCAUCAUUUCACAGAAUGGAAUGUAGUACAACCAAACAUGAUCUGACUUAAAUAUUGUUAAACCUAAAUCAGACUUAAUUGUGUGAAUGCAUUUCUCAUUGGCGUGGAAUUCAGCUAUGAAGUAAGGAAAACUUUUAAAGUUGCUGCACUAAGGAUAAGGUUCAUCUUGUGUUUUUUCAACAGCAGCAAAGAGAGCCAAUCCUUUGUUCUCCCAUUUGAAAUUUUCAGGAAUUUCAAAAUAAAAUUCAUAAUAUCUUCCAAGCUCCUCCAAAUCCUUAUGACAGCUGAAUCACUUUGGAAUUUCAUUUCCUGGAAAUACGACCUGGAAUUUAGAUUGUUGAGAAGACAUCAGAAGGAAAUCAGAGAAGGGGGGAAGCCUGAUCAUUCACUGAUUUAUUUUUCAUCUUUUCCCCGUCACGAGCCAAAUUGUCAAACAGUCUCCGGCAAUUGGACAAGUCCAUCCAAGAAAUCAUCUGUAACUCUUUAGGUUCCAUUAUGUUUGACAAUUUCGAAAACCCUUCUAAUGAUACGCAACCACUCGCAUCUAGCCACCCUACUUUUGGUGGAAGUUCUGGAAUUUCCUCAAGCCUUUUGCAGCCAUGCAAGUAAAGUAUCCUCAAGCUAAUAUAUCUGGUAAUGCUUACCGGAAAAAUAACAAAAUUACUUCCUGAUAGAUCAAGUCUGAAUAAGGUAGACACACCGUCAAGAGUACCAAGGAAAUUAAUUUCUGAUAAAUUGCCUCCUUUCAUAUCAAACUCCUCCAGUUUUGAAAGCAAUAAAGAGCCACAGUUGCUAAGUAAACUGUUUGCGUUCGUUGGAAGCAGCAAAGGAUCAGGUUCUGCAGUCGAUGAUUAUUCAAAUGUCGCCUUACUUGGAAAUGUGACUAGAUUUGGGCAUCCAUGAAGAUAAACAACCUUUAGAUGCUGCAACUCAUAAAUACUGAAUGGCAGAGUAGUAAGGUUUUCACAUCCGAGUAAAAGUAAAGUUUGAAGACCAGUGAGAUAUCCAAUUGAUGAAGGCAAUUCUUUGAUGGCAGUGCGAGAUACAUCCAUCCAUGUUAAAGAUCCCAUCUUUCCAGCAAUUUCAGGGAAAUGCUCAAGCUUUCCACAAUCACUAAGGUAGAUAGACUCGAGACAUUUCAAGCUAAUACUUCUUGGAAAUAAUGUAAGGUUACGACAUCCUUUAAGAUUCAAGCGACUGAGCUUUUGAAGGAAUCCAACCGAAUGAUCAACCUCAACCAAACUUGUACAGCCUUCAAGAUUCAAGAUUUCUAAGUUCGGAAUCCCAGAGAAGUUUGGGGUUUUUGUUAGGAACAUGCAGCUCUACAGAUUUAUGGAUUUUAGAUUUUGUAACCUCUGUCAGCCAAAAAAAGAGAGGAAAAAGUACGAUCAAAUGAUAAUCUAUUUAAGAAACAUAACCCAUAAUUUAAAAAAAAAAAAUAAGAUACCAUCAGAUGAAAAUAAUUUAAAGUACCUUCAACCCCUCUCCAAGUUGCAACAAGCGACUACGAGGCAUAUUGAGUUCAACAAGUUUUCUUGGAUUGAAGGUGGAUGGCAAAGCUUGUAACGGACAUUCAGGCCAAUCAAGUAACCUCAACUCAUUAGAGAGAUAAGCAACAUGGUCUCCAGAAAAGCGUGCAUUACGUAUGAAAAGAAGUUGGAGAUUUUUCAUCUCUGAAAAGCUUUUAGCACUCAAGCAUAUCUCAUCAUCUGGUUCAACCAAAUUUACCAUGAUCCCUUUGAUUUUGUUUGUUCCCUAUAGUAUGUAAACGCAAUAGUGUUAUUAACAAACAAGUUUUGUACGAUGUAGAAAUAGUAACAUAAAGUGAUGCGCGUGAAGUUGAAUAAAAUAAUACUAGGUAAAUAUCUAUAGCAUAUUGCUUACCGUUUUUUCUGUUAAAACGCAGUAAACAUCCUCGUGAAACCAUAAUCUGCUACGUUCACCAAGCUCAGUUGGCAACUCUUGACUAAUGAUUUCUUUACCCAUCUCUUCUAACAAGUCAUGCAUCCAAAUAUUAUUUCCUUUAAUAUUUAUCAUAGCCUUGUCUGUGAGUACUUCAAUGCUGUACUUCGGGUUUAGGUCACAACCCUCAAGUAUGGGUAUGACAUUAUUCUGAUUUUUCCCUUUAAAGAAACAUGCAAUGUGAAGGAAAACCUCUUUCACCGAAUCUUCUAGUGCAUUGUAACUUAUUUUGAGAAUUUCUUGAAUGUCUUGGUUAGGAAUUCUUUUGUAACCAUCUAAUGCAGCUUUCAUUUGAUCUGUACUUCUAUUCUACCACAAAGAUGUGAGUCUAAAACAAUCAAAACUAAUGGAAGGCCUUUAGCAUAGCAUACUACCGAUUUUGCUAAAUUUACAUAAUCAUCAUUUAAAUGUCUAGUCCGUGUGAAGUCAUUCCAACUCAUGAAGAGGUCAAGAGCUUCAUGACAAUCUAACUCUUUGACCUUGUAUAUUAGCUUAAUUUGAUGAGCAUUUAGCAAAUAUUUAUCUCUUGUUGUUAUGAUAAUUCUACUUCCAGAACCAAACCAAUCACACCCUCCAACUACCUUGUUUAGUUGGUCCAAUUGAUUGGCAUCGUCAAGAAUUAGGAGAACCUCUUAUGACUCAACUUUUUCUUGAUCACAUUGAUUCCUUUAUCGACAUUGGUCAACUUUAAUUCCGUCACCCCUAGAAUUUCAUAAAGAAGGUAAUUUUGGAGUUUGACUAGGCCUCCAUAUUGCAUUGAUUUUUCUCUAACACUUUCCAAGAAACAACUUCCUUCGAACUCAUGGGCAGUUAAAUUAUAAACAGCUUUAGCAAUUGUAGUCUUUCCUAUCCCUCCGAUCCCCCAUAUUCUUAUCAUGCGAACAUCAUUUGCUCCAACAUUCAAAAGUUUAUAUGUAUCACGAACACAUAACUCUAUUCCAACUGGGUAUUUCGCCACAUUCAGAUAGGUACUAUCUAAAACUUGGACCGAAAUCUCUUCAACAAAGUUUUGAAUAAAUUUAGAUUCAUGCCUACAAGUUCAAAAGCAUAAAAGGGAACACGAAUAAUAUAAAUGAAUGGCAUUUAGCUGUGUGUUGAUAAACUUUAUAGGCUCAACAUAAUCCAGCACCAACAUCGCCGAUAUUGUUCCAACUUAACCUCCUAUUACUGAUGAAAUUAAGGUUCCACCAUAAAACCAAUUGGCAAUAUAGAGAGUAGCCCAUCAUAUAAGUACAUAGCAAACAUUGCCCCUCACCGAUGUGGGACAACUUUCAACACACCCCCGCACGUGUGGCGGAUUUUCAAGCAUACACGUGGACAACAACUGGGUGAUGUGGAGCGCGUGUGGCCGUUGGGUUUUACACGUGGACAACCUUGCUUUGAUACCAUGAUAAAAUUAAGGUUCCACCAUAAAAUCAAUUGGCAAUAUGGGGAGUAGCCCAAGAUCAAAUAAGCUCAUAGCAAACCUUGUAUCUCACCGAUGUGAGACAACUCUCAACAAUUACUAGGUGUUGAGCUUUAUCACAAAAUGUCUUGAUGAUACUGAGGGUGAAAACUGUCAUAUAGUAAUUGUAUAUUAUUUUAUCAUAUGACAGAUGUGAGAUUUUAUUCUCCAACAUGUGUUUGAUAGAAAAAGUUAGAUAUAUAUAAACAAAAACAUACAGAAGCAGAAGAUUACUUGAAUUUUGCUAGACUAAAAAGAAACCAUCUCAUUCUGUCUUACUCUAGUUGUCUUUAACAUUAUAGCUCGACUAAUACCUAAAUUAUAGCCCAAUACUACUUGUACUAAUACAAUAAUAAUUUUGUGAGCAAGCUAGCUACCAGAGACUAGGUUUUUUUAUUAAAAUUUUUUUUAUAAAUGCUUCACAUAAUAAUAACGAAUACAGCACAACAAGUUUUCCUAUAAUAAUUGUGAGUGAAUAAUACCAAAAUAUUAUAUAUUCAUGUUAUGCUUGUGAAUUGAAGCAAAUAUUGAGCUUAUCUUACAUUUGAAUGUUAGGUUUGCAAGUAUAUAGAGGUCAGAAAAAUACCCGUCGACCGUGAAUGACCACCCGGACAAAUUUGCUGCUUUUGUAAGAGCUUUUCUCAAUCUCAACACCUUGUCCAUGUUAUCUUUGAAUUUGAGUUCAUGGUCAGCAAGUGCCUUACCGAAACUCUCUCUUUGGUUUCUCACAUCUGAUGGAUUCACCUUGUAAAAAAUUGGAAAAACCAUCUGCUGCUGUUGUUCUUUACAGUGAAGGAUGUGAACGAGUUCAUCUAAGCACCAUUUUGAGGAAGCGUAGUUUUCUGAGAAGACAAUAAUUGAAAUCCUCGAUUCCUCAAUUGCUUUGAGAAGCGCUGACGAUGUUUCCUCUCCUCUUUUAAGCGCCUCAUCAUCUAUGAAAGUUUUGAUUCCCCUUUGAACCAAAUUAUUGUACAAAUGACCUAUAAAAUUGUUGCGGGUAUCCUCACCUCUAAAACUGAGGAAGACAUCAUAUUUCUAUGAAUGGGUGUAAGAAGAAGAGGACGAGGCUCCUUCAUUGGUUGUUGAACUUGAAUCUAUGAUAUUUGAUUACUAAAAAGGAUGAGAUGCUGAGAGAUUAAAUGCUAAUGAACAUGUCAAAGACUGAUCUAUCUCUUGUGUUAUAUUAAGGCCUCUUUUCUUGGCAUCACAUAUGUGAAGAGUUGAAUAUCAGAGUGCGUAAUGAAUAAGACGAAUAAGAAUAAUAAGAAUAUUAUUAAUAAAUGAGAAUGCCGAAACAGCUACAAAACCCUAAGAGGCUACAUUGUGACUAACUUAUUAUUCUACGAGCUACAAAGCACCAUAUAUAUAGAGAACUAACCUAACCCUAAUAAGCAAGAAAACGAAACCCUAAUACUAAUGGGCUAAGCCCAAAUUCAAAUAACAAAAUAAUCCUAAAUUCCAACAACCCCCGUCAAACUCAUAGCGGUAUACGUCAUGAGUUUGCCAACAACCAGAUGCGGAUGCAAGCUCCGUUACGCAGACAAGACAAGGCAAGUUCCGUUAGGCGAACACGACAUGGGAAGCUCCGUUAGGCGAACAUGACAAGGCAAGCUCCAUUAGGCAGACAUGACAAGACAAGCUCCGUUAGGCGGACAUGACAAGGCAAGCGGGUGAGUAAUCAAGCGAGCGAAAGUAUUCCAAGUGGUGCAAGUGCAAGAUUCCAAUUCCAAUGCCAGUGCGAACUUUCAAUCAAACAAACUUCAGUUCACCAGCACACAACGUCACUUGAGUGGUCACCAAUUCAAGUACUCGAGUAAUCGUUGCAACAACAAGCUUCAACAGCAGGUUAUUUCCAUGAUAUCCGUGUGGGCCUCAAAGACAUCAAACCAAAAAAUGGGCAGUAAACAGCCUAGAACCCAUUUUUCCUCUCUGCUCAUGUGGGCCAAAACUUCUAACAAUUUUUUUAUAUUUUUUUUUUCAUUUCUUUUUUUUUUCCUUUUUUCCCCUAAUAUAGAAGCAGCAGCGGUGUAAUCCGUGGAGAUGGAGAUGGGUGCAUGUUGGUGGACAAUCUGGAUCUGGUACGAUACGAUGACUAUGGGCGCGGUGGACAACAGCGGCAGGCUUGGUGACUGGGUGCACGAGCAACGGUAGUGCACAGAUGGGUUUCUCAGCAAUGGUCGAUGGAUCAGGCGAUUCGGAUUCAGUUAGAUGUGGCGGCGAGUACUGGUAUGGUGGGUUCAUGCAAGCUGGGUUCAACAGGAAGGCCUAAGGUAGAGACGAACUUGAUCCGAGUUUGUGAUUCUCGAGUCAGAGCUUCAUCAAAACCGUCUUCAAACAAAUUCUUUUUCUACACUCUUUUCUUUACUUUUUCUGCAACCUAAGCCAAUGACAACUGAGAACAGAACAACAAACAAACGGACAAGACAAACAAAUUGAUAGUGAACAGAAGCAGAUUAAAUCCCGAAUAAUAAAACGUGCUCUGAUACCAAGUUGAAUAUUAGAGUGCGCAACGAACAAGACGAACAAGAAUAAUAAGAAUAUUAUUAAUAAGCGAGAAUGCUGAAACAACAACAAAACCCUAAAAGGCUACAUUGUGACUAACUUAUUAUUCUACGAACUACAAAGCACCAUAUACAUAGAGAACUAACCUAACCCUAAUAAGCAAGAAAAUAAAAUCCUAAUACUAAUGGGCUAAGCCCAAAUUCAAAUAACAAAAUAAUCCUAAAUUCUAACACGAAGCAGUUUCCUUGCCAUCUUCCAUGUUGAUGUGAAGUCAAGGAAAUAUAAGAUGACGAAAGAAAGAGGACAAAAAAGGAAUAAAAUUACGAAAAGCACUUUCCUUGCAAAUUGCAAUUUCAAGGGGGUGACCGAUGAGUAAUAAACUAUUAAACUUGGUAGUUUGGAAGUUCGGGAGUUUGAAAUAUCAAAAAUAAGACAAAGUUGGGGGCUGAUUAUAAAGAUGACUCAACUUCAGGGCCGGCCCAGGUCCGGUGCGAGCAGGACGACCGUCCUGGCCUCAGAAAAUCAAGGGCAUAAAAAAUAUUAGCAUACUUUUAUAUGAGUUUAUGUUUACAGUAAACAGUUUGAUUAAUUAUCAAAUUAUUUCUUUAGUAGCAUUGGUAUUUGCUACAUUUAUUAUUUAUGAUUAUUUAUGAGAUUGUGGGUUUGAUUCCUAGCUAGUAAUGUCUCUUCUUUUAUAUUUUUUUUUCUAAAUUAUUUAACAGACACAUAAGCAUUUUUUGUUCUAAGGGCACCAAACUAUUAUAUAUAUUAAAAACAGAAAGAAAAAAAAAUAGUAAAUAAACAGUGCCUCAUUUCUAAAAAGUUUUAAAUUCAAACUUUCUUUCUCUAUCUCAUUAGUGAUUCAACACCAAAUUUUUUUCAUGAAGCAUCAAAUUAACAUUUAAGCUCAAAACCUUGUCAUCUUGAUUUUUGGAACUGCGCUGCUGCCAAAAGGUGUUAGUGUGUUUUGUAUUCGAAUUAGGCUUUGAUUUUAUAAAUUGAAAACUGAAAAUCGAUGAAAAAUGAAAUUAGUUGAUCAAUUAAGAUGAGAUACGUUGCUCCUUUUAGAUUUGAGUACUUAGCAAAUAGGAAUGAGCAAGAUAACCGUUGCAAACCCACUCACACUUACAACAUGACUCAACUCACGUGCACAACUUAAGACACACAUAUACUAUAACAGCUGUAAUUUAUAUAGCCUAUGAGCUAGUUCUAGUCUUAGCUGGGUCAUCACAAACAAUAACAUAAGAACAAAUAAAUCCAUAAAUUCAACAUUUAAAUUGAGUGUAAUAUGCACAAAUGCUUAUAUCUUUUGUCCAAAUCUAGGGUUUUGAGUGUUAGAAGGUGAUCUCUCAAUCUAUAGCUCUUCAAUUUAUUUUAUUUUGAAUUUAAUCUUGGGAUCGUUUAUGUAUUCAAUUGUGCUCUCCAGAUCCCAUAAGUUUCCUCCCCUUUGGCUGUAAUCCUUUUUUAGUCCACAUAUAUUUUAUCAUCAUCAAUAAAAUUAAUUAGUUUGUAAAAAGAAUUUCUGUUCAUCAAUCUAUAAAGGGCACCAUUUGAAAUUUCACCCUUUGAAAACUCAGGACGGGGCCUGCUCAACGUGAUUUCAUGAUUUCAACAAUACAUUUUUGAAGAUCCAUUUUAAAAGAUCUUGAAGAAGGAAAAAAAUUGUGAAAGCCAUUUGGUUUUUAUAUAUCAUAACCACUUCACUAUUUAGACCAAUUUUUUUUUAAAUUUAUUAUUAUUAUUAUUAUUAAGGGGAGGUGGAAGGAUUCGAAAUUAUUACAAUAACUAAAGAUGCAUGGGUGGAAACUCAACAUCCUUUUCACUAGAAUAUUCAACUACAUGUUAAUGAACAAUUAUAAUUAGGUGGCUAAUUCACUUUUUAUUUUGGGUGGUUUUACAUAAAGACAAACUUUGAUGUAGGCCUAAUACGUAGUAUUACGAUAUAGCUAAUGGUAUUUCUUUUCACUUGUAAGUAAAAAGUCUCAAGUUUGAUUUCCGUAGAUAGUGAGUUUGAUAUAACAUUAUUACAUUCAAUUGUGUGGCUUAGUGCAAUUUGAUUUUGAUCAUAACCUAUUUGGUGUCUUUAAUGAAGGAUUAUAAUUUUUUAAUACAAGUGAUAUUACUACUUUUAAUUUACACAAGGGUUGGAGAGGAGGAGAGUUGAAGAGGGAAAUCCUAACCACCAGUUACAACAAUUGUAAUUAAGUGAUACUUUAUUUUCAAUAUAGACCUUUUUUUAUAAUAGAAAAUUAGAUAUGAACUCACAAAGCAUUGACAUGUUUUAGGAAAAACCCUCAAAUCAAAUUUAAAACUUUGACCAUUCUCCAUCCCCAUCCCCAUCGAGGAACAAGUUCCCCACCCUGCCCCAUUACCAAAAAUUAUAAUUAAAAUAUUUUUUAUGACAUAAACUUAGACUAUUAAGAAAAAUUAAUAACUAUAAGAAUAAUCAUAAUAGCAAAUUUGAUCACCAAAAAGAGCUUAAUCAAGUCCACAAAACAUUUUUUUAAUAUGAAAAAGUUGCAAGCAAGCCACAUUUAUUAUUUUUUUAUAACAUAUAUAAUUCUGAAUAUCAUUUAUAUACAAGAUUAAUAUGUAUUCCAAACACCAUACCAGUCUCUAUCUCCGGUUUUUAUCCUGGAUGCCUAACUUAGCAGAGCAAAGCCCCACAGACACCCAAAACUUUUGGGGAAAAUUACCAUCCCGAACAUAUACGUAUUUUCUAUGCGUGCGCUUUUGAUAGAAACAAGUAGCCACAAUGGUUGGUUUCAAUCGAUUUUAUCCCUCGUCAUAUCCAUCACAUAAGGUUUGUGGUAUCUCUUUUCUACUUGUCAGUUUUGCUUAUUUCAGAGGAUGCUAUUGAAGAGGAUGUUUUUUUAUGUGGAUGACACUUUUCCAAUGGUAGAAAACAAUUAUGUCUAUGCACUCUAGUGCAGAUUCAAUCUUCACCGAUGACCCUCCCUUUUACCAUUAAGAAUUUAACACACACACUAACACUAUUGUUUGUAAUAAAAAAAAUUAUGUUUUUUAUUUUUCAUUUUUCUUCAAAUGAGACCUGAUAAACUUUGACUCUCAUUUCACUUUAGUAUCCAAAAUUUUAUUUGUACCAAUUUAGUACCUCAAUUUAUUUUUGUGUCUCAUAAAUGGUUAGUACUAUCUUAAUUAAAUAUUGAGGCUUAACAGAAUAGUUCCGUCAGUUAAUUUUUAUUUUCUUAUACUUUAAAAUUUAAGGAAACAAAUAAAUCCUAAAGGGGCUAUCAUUGUCAUUAAAAACUGUUAAAAGUCUGAGUACAUUAAUUAAAUUUUUUAGUUUAUGAAGAACUUAUUCCCUCAAUUUCAAUUGUCAGAACAAGAACCAUUAAUCGGUGCAAACAAAAAAAAAAAGACAUUAAAUCGAUACAUGCUACAGUUUACAAAAACAAAAUUAAUUUGAAGAAAAACAUAGGACUCAUUCUUCAUGGCCAGAUGAGAGGCGUUAAAAUUAAACUAAACAAAGUAAAGGUACAUUAUUUAUAUGCAAGAGUACGACCAAAAACAUGUUUAUAUAUGCAUAUCAUUAGGUGUCACCAAGGCACAAAGCGAUCCAUAAGCAAACGCACAGUGUCUUCUGAAAGCGACGAAGAGUCCAAGUCCCUCUGUAUCUGAACCAUCCUGCUGCUCUCCUUUCUUGCUUCCUUAAACUCUUUUUGUUCUUGUUGUUGUUGUUCGACUUCAUCCCCGUCUCCUUGUUUGGCUUUCGAUGACAACAACAAUCGCUUCUUAGCCCCUACCCUUUCUUUCAGCUUACCCAGCUCGCUCAUCCAGACCUCUACCACUGCAGCCAUAAUUUUGAAACUACUUGAAUGCCUGAAAUAUGGUGUGUAGUUUUCUCUAUUGGUUUUUUGGUUUAUCAAAGCUAAUGAGGAGAGCUGGUUACCAUGCCUCAAGGGUUUAUAUAGAAGAAGAAAAAGCCGUGGCCUUCCUGUGGUUCGGAAGAAAAAUCAGUGUGUACCGCCACGGCCGUUGGAUACACGGUCGCACACAGGAUAUAAAUUUAGGGAUAUUCGAGGGGAGAGAGAGAAAGAGAGAGAGAGCACACAGGAUAUAAAAUUAGAGAUAUUCUAGGAGAGAGAGAGAGAGAGAGAGAGAGAGAGGAGACGUGGGGUAUAGGGAUUCCAGUGAAUGUAAAGCGUCCCCGUGGCGCACGCAACUUGCUUGUUUAGAUUGUGGGCGACUAGGCAAUUGGUAUAUUAGUAUUCAUCUUUGUUCUAAAUAUUUCCACUUAACACCGCCUAAGAGGUUGGUCAUCGCCCUAAUUAAUACUUAGGUAUUUAAAAAUUAAGAAAUGAAAUCUAGACUUAUUGAGGUGCACGCCUAGCCCUCCCAGACCUGUCUAGACACCCACCUAGAUCCAACUUACUUAGACGGAAAAUAGAUAACUUUCAUUUUACAUUUGAUUUUUUUAAUAAAUUGUAAAAAACUUGUUGCAUACUUAAAUGAACACUCAUUAUAUCAUUGUUCCCCAUGUUUUCAUUAUGUUCCAAAACUUCAUAAUAUAUAUGUCAUUCUAUUUUAUAGUUUAUGAUGAAAUUAUAUAUAUUUUAAGUAUAAGCAGACAUUUAUUUAUACGAAAUAUGAUAAAUUUACUGAAUUUCGUCUAGUCCGUCUUGCCUAGCCGCUUAGGCGCUAGGCCACAGCCAGCCGCCUGACUUGCAUCUAACGCUUUUUGGAACCUUACUAUUCACCAAUAAGAUUCCUUUACAUAUUUCAUAUUUGGUUUUAUGUGGAUUUUACAAUGGUACUGUUAUUGGCACUCUAAACGUUACUCUACACUUCUCUUUAUAUAAAUAUUUGUUCGUUUUUAUAAAUUUAGAGUAAAUGAUGAAUAUUUCAUGGUGGCAAUAAAGUCUUUCUAAAAAUAGUUUAUUAAACCUGAAAUAGGGGGGUAAUCACACGGCAGAAAGUUAACAUUCUAGGCUAAUAAGAAGUUAAGCUUCUAUGUCUAUUGUCAACCGGUUCUCUAGUGAAACUUCCGAGUUAUUCCAUAUGUGAAACCAACGGACAAUAUGCGCUCUGCGUGUAAUGAUAUGUGUACCACAAGUGUGGUGAACAAAAUUUGGAUUGCCUGCUAAUCAGUGUCCUUACUAUUUUUAUCCACACGGACAAAACAUGCUUCUUUUUGUAUUUUUGCUGGAACAAACAAAAUAUUCUUUCCCCUUUACACACAGUGUAUUCUGUGGUCCGUAACUAACGAAAUAAUACUUCUCUUAAUAAAAUUACUGUAUCUGAAAUGACUAUUAUAGCCUUUUAUGUUAAGGGUAUUUUGUGGUCCAUAACUACCAAAAUAAUGAUUCUCUUAAAAAAAUUAGUGUAUAUGCAAAAUAAAAAAAUUUGUAAUAUCAUAUGAGUACUUUUUUUUUUAAUUUGUCAUAUAAUUAAAAGUUUAAGCGAUUUGUCAUAUUAACUUUUAAAAAUUAUUUAUUUGUCAUUUCACCGUAACUAAGGACGGACGCACUCUAAGACCACCAUAGGCAAAGGCCUACCCUCACUACGGAUCUCCCUAACUAACUUUCUAAAUAAUUAUGUAUUAUACUUUUUUUGGAUAAAUUUAAUAUUAUACUUCUUUUAGUUUAUACAAAACUCUUAGGAUCUGCUUGGUACUCUACUUGAACCCAACUUUUUAAACUCAAAAACAAAUUUUAAGUUUUAGGCCUUAAAAACUUGUUUGGUAUGACCAUUUUUGAAAACUGAACUCAAGACUAACUCAAAAAUAUAGUCUAUUCUCUAAAAACAUAAAAAUUGAGUUUUUAAAAUUUAAAUUCACUCAUUUCUUUUCUCUCCCUCCUCCCCUCUUACUUAAAAUCUAUCUCUCUCUUUUCUUCUUUCUAUCUCCCCUUCUCUCUUUUUUUUUUUUUUUUUACCUUUUUCGUCUCUCAUCCAAUCCCUUCAUUCUCUCGGUUCUUUCUCUCACUCAUCUUCCUCUCUAUCUCCUCUGAUCCUCUCUCUUCUUUCUCUUUCCUCCAAUCAUGUCUUACUGUCUCCUCUCUCCUCUCUCCUCUUUCUCCCUCGACCCCCUCUUUUUGGAUCUCUUUGUCCAGUUUAUAUUGUAAAAUUUAAAGGCUUGUUUGGUAUCCUAUUUGAAAAUUUUUAUAAUUUCUCAAAACAUUUCUUAAAAAUUUUUCUUGAAAACAAUUUUCUUUAAGACUCAAAAACUUGGUUGGUAUGUGAUUUAAAAUUUUUAAAUCUUACAACUAAAAUUGGACAAAAGAUCCAUAAAAAGGGGGUCGAGAGAGAAAGAGGAGAGAGGAGGAAAGAAAGUAAGAGAUGAUUGGAGGAAAGAGAAAUAAGUGAGAAGAUCGGAGGAGAUAGAGAGGAAAAUGAGUAAGAGAAAGAAUCGAGAGAAUGAAGAGAGCGGAUUGGAGGAGAAACGAAAAACGUUAAAAAAAAGGGGGGGGAGAGAGAAAGAAGAAAAGAGAGAUAGAUUUGGAGUGAGAGGGGAGGAAGGAGAUAAAAGAAAGGAGUGAGUUUAAAUUUAAAAACUCUAAAAGCUCACUUUUUGUGUUUUUAGAUAAUAAACUAUAUUUUUUUAGUUAGUCUUGAGUUCAGUUUUUGAAAAUAGUCUUACCAAACAAAUUUUUAAGGCCUAAAACUUAAAAAUUGUUUUUGAGUUUAAAAAUUUGGAUUCAAGUAGAAUAUCAAACAGGCUCUAAAAAUUUUAAAUCGUAUAUCAAACUAGUUUUUAAGUCUUAAAUAAAAUUGUUUUCAAGAAAAGUUCUUAAGAAAUGUUUUGAGAAAUGAUAAAAAAUUUCAAAUAGGAUACCAAACAAACCCUUAGUUUCUAUUCACUAAUAGUUAAAAUACGAGGUCUUUUUUUCUUUUUAAGCCCAAUAACACUCAUCCUAAAAAUAAAUUUACAAUCUUUUUUUAAAAACAAAUCAAUAACUCUUAAAAUUAAAAUCUAAAGUCUAAUUUAAUUUUAUCAAAAAAAUAAUAUUCUUUUACGUUGCCAACUGAGGAAUAAUAAACAUUGAGUUUUUCCUACUCCGCUUUUUGAAAUUUUAUAUAUUUUCUCUUUGUUCUCUUUAACUUUUUACUAAAUUUUUAAAGUUUCAUAUAUUUUGUUCACCAAAUUCCCAAUCCAUUCUUCUCAUUUUUGUUUGAAAAUUCCCAAUCUAUCAUGUAUUGACUUGAAGUUAUGCUAGAGAUAGCGUCUACUUGAGCCAUAUUUUGAGACCACAUUAUAUAACAGUUAAUGGUUGGAUUACUUCUUUAAAUCACUAAAGAAGGAAUUCAAUCAUCAACGAGGUCACAUUAUAUGGUCUACAAACAUAGUAUACCUAACAUUUUUUAGUGACUUGAUAUUGAAAGGUUAAUUUCUUUUAAUCCUCUUUAAUUUUAUAUUAAUUACUUUCUAUAUUGACUUGAGAAUGGAAGGUUAACUUCAACAUAGAAAAAACAUUUAGAGCCUCAAAAAAUUUAAUUAUCUCACAAUUGCAAGCAUAUAUUAUACUCUCUUGUAAAUACUAAAUAUAUAGGGAAUUGUUAUGGGCACUCCACAAAUCUCAUUUUAAUUCCCACAAGCGUAUUUUUCUUUCUAAAUAAAGAAAGUUUGGACUACAAAACAAGAAUUUCGAAGUGUCAAUUACAAUUUCCUUUAUUUAAUCUUUUAACAUUUAUGUGAGACCCUUCCUCACCUAAAUCCUGGCUCCCCCAUUGACCAUAACUCCAUUAGGUUUUUGAUGCGAAAAUCAACUUAACACACGAAUUUAACCCUUUUUUGACAACUGUAAUAUAAGUAUAAGUAGGGAUCGUUCUGGACCGGGGAUUAUGAGGGCUUGCUAAUAACCUCUAAACUAACUCAAAAACAUAAAACUAAACUUAAAAAUACUUAACAAGACUCACAAGACUCAAAGCAAACUUAAAAUACUCAAAACAGCUUAAAACAACUAAAUAAACUUAGACACUAGGAAUGACCUUGGACGAAAAUUGACUUUUACUUGAAUCACAACAAUUAAAAACACAAAUUAAAACAGAUUCUAACUAAUUAGACACACUAAAGUAAAGGGGGAUUGAGU